CGAGGGCUCAGCACUCAACUGCCUCCCUCCUCCUCCCUUUUUUUUGUAUUUUUAUUUUUAAAUGUUUUAAAUAAAUAUGUUUUAAAAUCUCAUUUAGUUAAUUUUUAUAUUCAUUUUUUAUCACGUCAAUAUCAAAACGACGUCGUUUUGCACUUACUUCACCGGAAAAUUGCCACGUUAGCAUUUUGGCCAAAUUUUUUCCAUGAAUUGGCACAUAAGUGAUCAAUUUUACUCCGAUUUGAGCACUUUGAGUAUUAUUUUCGUAACUUUUGACACUUAUGUGCCAAUUUUUGGCACUCUAGGGUUCGAGUGUCCAUAUAUGCUACUGCUUCUUUGUUUUGUCAAAUGAUGUGAGUGGUCUGUCGUGGUUGACUUAAUAAAGAACAUUCGUCCUCGAAAUGUUGUCCCUGCAUCAGCAACAAAAACAAUGGAGUCUUAUGCUGCUAAGUGAGGUCGGUCAUGAAUCCUAUUAUGACUUUGCACUUGAUCCUUUGUCGAUUCUCUUCCAAAUAUGGAUAUUACCCUACUUAUCCCACUGAGUUGGGUUGGCCAUAUCUUUCAUUGUCAUUUCCUUUCGCAUCUUUUUGGAGCUUCCCUUACCCCUUUUAAUGAAUGUAUACACCCAUUGGGCAUGCGGCCCAACGGUAAGGGAAUUGAGCGGGACGGAAACAUUUAGCUUCAAAUGUGGAGUUUGACUUUUGUACUUUGCGAAGAGGUCGAGUAAAAGUGUGAGAUAAGAUUUAUAAAAUAAAAUAAAAUAAAAUGAAUAUAGCCAAUCUUUAUUCACACAUCAUUUUCAGUGGGGCAUUUGAAGGCUUUCAUUCAACAUUACCAUUUCAUCUAAGAUGCAUUCUCUUAUCUCAAAACGCCUUCGAGAUGUCAUUGCUACUGUGGCUGUGAUGACAUAGUGAAAACAAUUUAUUAUCUUUAUUCAUGUAUUAUGAAUACCAUCCUAAUUGACAUAAAAAUAUGUCAUGCUUUCAUUUUUGAUUGACUUAUUCUACCACGUGUCAUUACUACGUUACCUAACCAAUAAUGACAUGACCGUCACAUAAAACAUCUUCUUCAUGUGUAUGGGAUGGGAAGAAGUAAUGAUAAUUGAUUCAAAUAAUCGAUAAAAAUGGAAUUGCGGAUAGUGUAGUGGGAAAUGAGGUUCGGUUUAAAUUUGAUAACUACAAUAAUCGUUAUCAAACUCUUUCAAUAAGUAAAAGGAUAAUUAGGAGAGGAAAAAGCCAUCGAAACUAUCAUAAAAUAGAGAAUGACAUCCCACAAUAGGGGUUAAGUAUGUGUUUGAUUCAGCGCUUUGCAAAAACAUCCCAAAAGUCACUUAAACCAAACCUUAUUUGCUCAAAGCAAAUAAUGGGACUUUGCGUCUCAAAGACUGUUGGGGACUCUCAAAACUCUUCUGAAAUCACCCUAAAAACCCCGUUACUAUAAUGUCAUCAUUGGCCUAGUAUCUUCCUAGUCAGAAUGACUAUAUUUUUGUUACGGGAGGGGCUCCUUAAACCGUAUCUUUUGAUUAGUGGGAAAUAAACAUGAGUCGUAUUCAUGAUUUGGGAUCCAAUUUAAUUUAAUUGGUUGGACAAAAUUUUAUUUAAUCAAUAAUAGAAACAGAGUUCGUUUUAUCGUCCCGUGAGGCGAGUUUGAGUUUUCUUUGUUUUCUUACCGAAAGGAUCCUGACGAGGCCCAGUCCGAGGUUUCCAGAUGGACCGACCAGAUUCGCCUUUUCACUCGAACGUUCGUCUGUCGAACCUCGAAAGACCGCGAAUGUACUAGAAUGCUCCUCCGUUCCCUAUUUAGCAACCGAACGCAUCCUCUUCCAGACCACAUCGUCUGACGAUUGCAAUUCCUGUCCUAGUCCAAGCAUUCUGUCAAACACUUCUUAGUUAUUCGCUGGUAAUUCCACAACCAUGUCGCUCAUCCCAAGCUGGUUCGGUGGCCGUCGCAGCAACGUCUUGGACCCUUUCUCCCUCGACCUCUGGGACCCCUUCAAGGACUUCCCUUUCCCUUCCUCAGCCCUCUCCGCCUCUAAUUUCCCCCAGACGUUCGGGGAGAACACUGCCUUCGUGAACACGAGAAUCGACUGGAAGGAGACCCCGGAAGCCCACGUGUUCAAGGUGGAUCUCCCCGGGCUCAAGAAGGAGGAAGUCAAGGUGGAGAUUGAGGACGAUCGAGUGCUCCAGAUAAGCGGCGAGAGGAACGUGGAGAAGGAGGACAAGAACGACACGUGGCACCGGGUGGAGAGAAGCAGCGGGAAGUUCAUGAGGAGGUUCAGGGUGCCGGAGAACGCGAGGAUGGAUCAGGUGAAGGCGUCGAUGGAGAACGGGGUGCUCACCGUCAGUGUUCCCAAGGUGGAGGAGAAGAAGCCUGAGGUCAAGGCCAUCGAGAUCUCUGGUUGAGAGUGACGAUUCUACAUAGAGGAGCGUCUGUGUGUAUGCUGUGUUACUAUGCGGGUUUCGUGUGUCCUGAGUUGGGAGGCUCGGUCCCCUGGUUUCUGAUAUGGCUAUAUAUAUUUUCCUACUACGACUCUUCAAUUGUAAUGAAAUUCGAGUUGUCAUUUCCUAACUUCUGUUUGAUGUUAUCUUGGUUCCUCAACAGUCUUUCGAUUAUGUUUUGUUCGUGGGAUGCCGCUUAUUUUGUUUCGCAUACUGCUUCGGCGGAUGGGGAGUUUAAUUAGUUUCACUCUUGUCGGAUUAAUUCAAAUUCUGGGAAGGAUCCAUCAGAAGUGCAAGUGCCACACUUUGCACAUUGGCAUCGUUUUUUCAAUUGGGUUUGGAGGUACCUGGAAUAUAGAGAAGCUGAUAACUUUGGGAUUACAACAGGGUAGAAACCAUGUUACUCCUUUUGAGCUCAGCCCAAGGUGCAGGGUUGGGUUCCUUCUGCUGCAUUCGAUCACAUUUGUCAAAUAACAGGAUAAAAUAUCUCGAUUAGCCUUUUAUUUCUAGUGAUCAUCAUCAGAUCAGAGAGAGAUGAUCAAAUUCACUAGUUCCUCUAUUGCGGUGUGCGAAGAACCACCUUUUCUGAUGCUCAACUUGAUUUGGUCUUUGAGAGCCGCAGCUCUCAGCCUCAUCUCUUUCCCUUCCUCACCAACCAUCAGCCUCCUCACAGCUUGCUCUAUCUCUUUCUGGUCUAGAUCACCCUCCAACUCCAAUCCCACCCUCCAAACGUGGCACAGGUACCUCGCGUUCACAUUCUGGUCGAACAAGCACGGUUGGCAUAUCAUCGGGACUCCUUCGGAAAUGCUUUCCAAGGUCGAGUUCCAUCCACAAUGGGUCCAAAAGCCUCCCACGGCACGGUGUGCUAAAACAUCCUUCUGCGGAGCCCAUCUUAUGACACAGCCUGUUUCUUGGAUGGCUUCUUCGAACCCUUCUGGCGACAGCUCGAUCCACUCUGAGCCUCUGACUGAGCCAGGUCGGACCACCCACAAAAAUGGCUGGCCGCUGUUCGCCAGCCCCCAAGCUGUCUCUGCAAACUCUCUUUCAUCCAUCGAAGCCAAGCUUCCUAAGCUCACAUAUAUGACCGAAUCAUUAGCUUGCUUAUCAAGCCACAACAGGCAAUCGGUUUCUUCCUCCAAUAUGCUGGUUGGUAAACUUGGAGCAACUUUGUGCAACGGCCCUAGUGAGAAAAAUGGCACAUGGUAUUGUUUCUGGACUUGGUCUGAUAACUGUUCCUCCAGGCAGUCCACUGUGUUCCAAAGAAUGGCUGAAGAUGUCUUUAUAUCGAGUGCCGUAGCUAUUACCUGCACCAUUGGUUCUGGAUCGCUUGUAAAAAGAGGCAAGUCCUUGCAUCUCAAGGGAUAAGCGCCUGGAACUGGAUCUUUCGACGAACGAUCUGUAAAGUCAUAAAAACUGCUGCUUGGCAUGUAUUGCUUAUACGAUUUCAUAGUCUGAUAAAAACAUAAAAACUAGUCCGAGAUUUGAAUAUUCCAGCAAGAUAAAAAAGCGGUGGUCCUUUUUUUCCUAUUUUGUAUUUAGUGGACAUUCUUUCUUCCUCCCUAGUCAGAUUGCUCUGCAUUAAGGCCAGAAUAUGAUCUUUCACAAGCAGUUUCAGCAUGUGUGGUGCUGUUGACUUCAUUUCCAUGCUGUCUACUCUGAUUAAAGAGGUAAUAGGUGGUUUGGACAGCUGGGCUAACAUCUAGUGAGUGUUUCGUCUUCUGGAAACCGAGUCGCUGUGAAGACCUAGUAUGCUUACCUCCUCUUUGCAGCAAGUGCUUUUUACGAAGACACAAAGGUACCCUGUUAAAGUACUACUUUGUCGAAGAAAAAGAAAAUUACGAGCCGAACUCAAAAUGUGUCAACAUGGACUAAUGGUGCGAUCUGUCAAGGGAAAAUUAUAUUUGAACCACAUUGAUUAGUUCACUCUCUAUUUAGCUUGGCUAAACAAUCUCUUCGAAUUUUGAAGAGACCCUAAAUUUUGCUGUCGCAUUUCUUUGUGAUACAAACACAAUCAAAUCAGAAGCCCUUCCAGUUUAUCGGAGUUCCACCAAAGAAAGUGCAUUCUUAACAUCCAAUUGAUGCCGCAUGCUUGUUACUCUUGAUUUCUAGUGAAAUUACUGUCAAACUACAUCACAGAGGUGACUAGAAGGUUAUUGCGCAUACUGAUAUCUGAUAGUUUAUUGUCUGUUACUAUAUGAGGAUUGAACAUACCUUUCGGGGGAAAAUAACCUUCCUUUUGGAGCCGAGGCAAUUCAGAGAAAAUCAGCUGUGUGCCGAUACUACUAGUGCGCAAAGCCAUGCUAGGAAGUUUCACAUAAUAAGCUGCGGCUUCUGCACAAUACAUCAGCGAAUCAUAAAUCACGCAAGAGAUUUUACUCUCGGUUGCUCCAUCCUGUGCCAUCAUAUCUGACAAUACUUGGCGGAGAGGUCCUUCACAGUUGGUGUUGAGAUUUGCUGUAAUAGCUGCAGCAUCCCCCGAGGAGAGGACAUCCUUCGGUAAGAAGUCGGGAAUAGAAGCAAAGGUAAAAUUGGGGAAACCAGAUGGAUGGGGAUGACUGAAGUGUGUGUGAGCUAUUACAAUAGAGAAGCCCUUGGAAUGCAGGAGGGAUCCCAAAUUGAGCAUCGGGGUUAUGUGUCCUUGAGGGGGGCAGGGGACUAGCACCAAUCUACGAUUGCUUCUCUGCCCUCGUUCCUCCAUUUCUCUCAUGUGAUUACAACCAGAGCCUCUUUCCUGGAUGAACUCGUCAAAUGAAUGGUCUUAUAUUCAAUACUGGGUCGUUGGCAAAAUGUUAAGGAAAACAAAGAGAAAUCCUCUCAUUAAUUUGUUUUUCUUGCCAGGAGAGAAAAAUAAAGAAGUGGUAAACAAAUUGGCUGUCGCACCAUGAGACAUGUGGAGGAUCACCUACCCCAGGACACCAGAAAUUUUGUUUCCUUUCACGUCUGGCUUUGUUUAAUCUCACGUGGGAAUAUUCUUUUUCUCCCGCAAGAUUUCUAGUUAAUUCGAUUCCAUCCCAAAACUUGCUCUUAUCUCUUUGCGGAUUCAAAUUAUUUUGCUGCUGAGGCGACUCCCCCUAUACGAUGGCAUUGAAGUCCACUGCUACUGACAUCACCAGAAGCUCCUUAUAUAUGAGAAAUGGGGUGGUUAUAACUUGUUUUGAACACUGGUGCUUGUAACCUUCUUGAAAAAGUCACCAUACGGAAGCAGUACCUGGUAUAUAUGAAUGUUUUGUAACUGAAACUCACAGCCUUAAGUAAGCUGACAGAGCUUGUCUUAGUCAAAGACAGCUAGAGACAGCAGGACUCAGAAGCAAAAGAGCUUCGAAGUCUGCAUCCUUUCAGACACCUUUCUAUUUCUUGAGACAAAAUCAAGUGUAUCAAAAAAAUAUACAGCUUCAAAAUUCAGCUGCUGCAAAAGUCAAACUGAUCUGGGGGGUUCUCAUGUUCUUUUUGGCAAUAUGAGAAGUGCCGAUGUUUUUUAAGUAGAAAGUUCAAAGUGAACUAGCAUCCGAAGGCCUGACAGACUGAGAUAUGAAAUCAGAUUUCUUAUCUGAAAGCUUCAUAAAGACCAAUAGUGCUCCUGCUUCUUCCUGCCGUCGAAUGACACGAGCAGUCUCAUUGGGAUUGACUUAAGAAUGAAUGUUCCUCCUGAGGAUGUUAUCUCUACAACGACAACAGGAGCAACCGAGCCUCGUCCCACUAACUAGGGACAGUAGGAAUUCUAUCAUGCUGCUGUGCUUGAUCUUUUUCUAGAUUUUCUAUGAGCUCUUCCACGUCUUUCUGGUAUUUCCCCUACUUUUAACUAAUACAUCCCAUCUUCAUUCAUAUCGCCUCGCCGGGGCACCUAAAGGCCUUUGUUCGACAUUACCUAAUGAUCUCAGACGGCCUUAUCGCAUCUGAAGGCCUUCAAGAUGUUAUGCUGAGAUCUAGUGGCCACACUUCUUUCAAUUGUAAAGCCAUGCACCUGGCAAAAUGGACAGACUAUUUGAGAUUUCCAUUGGUUGCAUAAUCUCAAGGAUCUAGAAAAACCUACUUUCUAUCAAAAUAGGUGGAGACUAAAUCACGUGUUCUCACACGGCCUUUUUAGUCUCUUUAGAAAGGUAAAACUAAAUAGUCACUCAACCUCCUCUUUACCACUAGUUAGGGAAGGCUGCAUGUUUCAAAUAACUGUUCAAAACAUCUAGAAUUCAGAGGAGUCCUAAGUUUUCUCUGCCAUUUCUUCAUUUUUUGGUGGGAAAAUGACAUAAAUCGUCCAUGAAUUUUGGUCUAAUGUGCAAUACCGUUCAUUAAUUUUUAAGUUGUUCUAUGUACCUGUUGAACUUUGAUCCAAUGUGGAAUGUCAUUCUUCAACUUUUAAUUUGUUAAAUAUGAUCUGGACUAUUGAUAGAUGUUCUAUUUAAUCUCCUAGAUUAUGUCAAAUUGACAUAAACGGAAUGACUAUAUUGAAUGUUUAUCAGUAGUUUAGGGAUUAUUAAAUAGAUUAAAAGCUUGAGGACGAUAUUGCAUAUUAAGUUCAAGGACUAUACUGUGCAAAUUAAAAGGUCAGAGAGGAUAUUGUAAUUGGAUCAAACUUUAUGGACUAUUUGAACUAUAAUCCCUUCUUUGGUUGAGAAACGAUAACAAAAAUAAGAUCCUAAACUUAAGACACUUUAUGGGAAAAGGGUAGUGGUAGAGACGUUUGUUUUAUUUUCAACAAUAACUUUCUCUUCUUCACAUUGUGAUGUAAGAAAGCUACUUCAGAUAAUAUAUGAUUUUAGGUCGUCUCACAUGGCGCAGUAUGAAUUGAUGCUUCACUGCAUUAUGCUCACAUAAAGAGCAUGCAUGUCACUGUAUUAUGCUCACAUAAAGAGCAUGCAUGUAAUUAUUGCACAAAUAAGGUCACAAAUACACAUGUUGAAUCGAUAUUUUUGGAUAGGAGGGCCAUAACCAUGAACAACGAUAUCUGGGAUUGAAUUCUCGAUGCUUUCUUGCUUUUGUCAUCAUAAGAGGAGCCGUGUUUUUUUUUUAAACGCUUAAGCGAUUAAAAAGGGGCCAACCGUGAGUAACGUAUGAUUUCGAUCAUUUCUAGGAUCAUUGAAGUUGAACAAAAACAUUCUGUAUAACACCUAUAUCACACGACAUAACGAUGAGAUGGCGCUCAACCAAAUCAAUUAUUUUCGAUUAUUAAAAUGAUCUUUAAAUGUGAAUGCGCGAUGGCAAAAAGGAACAGAAUUGACAGACAAAUAUGAGGAAGGGUAAGAGAAGGCGAGGUGGUUGAAAAUGUUACGCAGCGUCGAGAAAGAGCCAGAAGCCCAUAACCAGAACGCUCGCUCAGUCUUAAACCUCGUUUCGGAAAAAUCUCAUGAACGCGCGAGAAGACCUCCUCUUCUGCCCAUAAAUACCCAGCACGUCCCUUUCCUUCCAACAAGGACCCAGAAAGCAAGCAAAUUCCCAAGAAACUCCAAACCCGAGCAGAAAUCAAUCCCUCGCGUCCUGCAAAGUCAAGCUUCAUUCCACCGACAUAUUCAGAGACGAAGUCGCUCAUAGUUUAACUUCGGGAUUUGUUGCCGGAGGGAAUCUUUGCUUUACUUCUUGAUUUUGUUCGCUUGUCUUUUGUUUGGCUUCACUUCAGGAAUUAUUAGGGAUUUUCCUAGCCAGCAGUGUAUAUUUUAUACGCUAGUUCACGAGGACCAGCCAGGGAAGAGGAUUGACGUGAUAUUCCCUUUAAUUACUCAUCCAAAUAAAUUAUCUGAAUCAAGAUGCUGUGAACCAGGACAGCUGCCAAGAAGCACAGCCCCAGAGAGAGAGAGAGAGAUAGAGAGAGAGAGAGAGAGAGAGAGAUAUUCUCUAAAUAUUCAUUAAAUGCCGUGUCAAACUUGACCAUAGGGAGAGAGAGCGAGCUUCUCUAAUUAUUCAGCAAAUGCCGGGUCAAACUUGACCACAGUUACAUUCCUAGCUUGCGCAAAUUGAACGUUAGGACUGACCUGCUUGCUUGUCCUUCAUUGCUGGGUCUUCGCAUCCUCCGUCCCAUUACUUCUCAUCUGAUUAGACUUACAAAGAGAGUAAAACCACCCUGGAUCAGCAAAAGCCCGUCUUCAAGUGCAUAACUUCGCAUAGCAUCUGAAUAUCUUCGAUUGAAUAAAGGAUAGAGAGGAUGGAAAGUGAUGGGCAAAAUGGCAAGAAAUUGAUCCUGGUCCCAGGACCAUUCCAGGGCCACCUCACUCCCAUGCUUCAGCUGGCGACAAUCCUCAAGUCCAAGGGCUUCUCCAUCACAAUUGCUCACACACUUUUCAACAGUCCAGAUUCUUCUGCUCACCCCGAUUUCACCUUCUUAUGCAUGCCUGACGGCUUGUCUGAAGAAGAGGUUCGAAACCCCGAUCUGAUGGGCAUCAUGCUGAGGCUUAAUGUCAAUUGUGAGUCCAGCUUUAGGGAGUGCCUAACUUGGGGCACAAACCAUAUGGAGCCAGUUGACAAGAUUUGCUGCAUCAUCUACGAUGCAAUCAUGUACUUCUCGGAAGCUGUUGCCCAUGAUUUGAAGAUUCCUAGCAUUGCUUUACACACGAGCAGUGCUGCUACUACCAUAGUCCGCCCGAUUCUUCUCCAGUUAAAGGCACAAGGACACAUUCCGAUCCCAGGUACAUGCUGAAUUUCUCUUAUUUAAGUUACACUCAUUUCUUUCUUGAUUAAUAUUAUGGUUGCGGAGAAUCUUGCUCGUAUUCCAUUUUGUUUGUGGGGAUGGAUGUAUCUACAAAAAUUUAUUGCAGUUUUAAAAUCUGUAUGUGUGACCUUCAUCAUGGCCCUAUAGUCCAUGAUCCGACGAGUCUCCUCUAUGCCUAUACUUUUUUCAAGACUGGUUUCUUUGUCAUCAUCCAAGUUUGACACCCAAGCCAGAUUAUCCUGAAUGUUGUCAAACCGCCAAGUAUAAAGUCGAUGGGUUCUAGCUCACUUGUCAUUGUGCUGACUAACAAAUGCCUUGUGUUGUGCUCUAUUAGAUUCCAUGUUGCAGGCUCUGGUGCCUCUGCAUCAGCCCCUGAGGUUCAAAGACCUACCACUCUCCAAUUUUGGAAGUUUGGACUAUUUCUUGGAGUUGUUAGUCUUGGCGAGUAAUAUCAGAUCGUCUUCGGCCAUUAUAUUCAACACGAUUCACUGCCUUGAAGAGUCACCUCUGGCGCAGCUUCACCAACAGUACCAGGUUCCGAUUUUUCCAAUAGGUCCUCUGCACAAACUCGCUCCUACUUCAGCUGUUAGCUUACUGCAAGAGGAUACUGGUUGCAUUCCAUGGCUUGACAAGCAAACUCAUAAUUCAGUCAUUUAUGUGAGUUUAGGAAGUAUAGCACAUCUGGACCAAGACCAAUUGUCAGAAAUGGCUUGGGGUCUGGCAAAUAGCAAGCAGCCUUUCUUGUGGGUUAUUAGGCCUGGCUCAAUACCAGGUUCGGAAUGGAUCGAGUCAAUGGCUGAAGAAUUCAAAGAAUGUGUUAAGGACAGGGCUUGCAUUGUGAAAUGGGCACCUCAAAAAAAAGUACUGGCUCAUGAUUCGGUGGGAGGGUUUUGGAGCCACUGUGGAUGGAACUCCAUCUUGGAGAGUAUAGAUGAAGGCGUUCCGAUCAUAUGUCAACCAUGCUUCGGUGACCAAAAUGUGAAUGCGAGGUACUUGACUCUUGAAUGGAAGGUUGGAUUAGAACUGGAGGGGGAGAUAGAGAGAGGGACAGUAGAAAGAGCUGUUAGAACAUUGAUGAAGAAAAAGGAAGGUGAAGAGAUGAGGCAGAGGGUCUUGGAUUUGAAGCACAAGUGCGAUGUUAGUAUAGUUGAUGGUGGAUCUUCUUGCCAUUAUCUGAGCAAGCUAGUCGAGUUGUUGAGAUCGUUCUAGCAGCACAGAGUUGUUUGCUACUAAAGUACCGCGCGGAAUGAAGCUUGUGUAGUGCAGAAAGUGCAAAGAUUUGGUCUUCAGGCAUUGAAGAACAGAACGGAACAGAACAGAUGAUGCUUUGAUGGACUGACAGAAAUUUGCUGACUUGUCAUAUGCAAAUUUAAGUUGAUCCAAUCUCCUUUUUUUCUCUCAAACCAGUGGACCAGAUCUGAAUGGGUCGAAUUCACUUCUCCUUUCAAGUUUGAGUAAACUUAACAUGGUUAUUCAUUAUGUCACAAUUUUGAAACCUAAACAUGACAAGCUUAUAAAAUGAUAGGACACAUUUGACUUGUUUAAGAUACGAACCACUAGAACAACCAUGUCAAAUACGUACAGAUGUGUAAAAGUGUGUUCAAAUGUGCGUAAAUUUUCUUAAGUGCAUUGUCUCGUUGCAACUAACUUAUCAACUAUGUCAUCAAACUUGUCUAAACAUUUCAUAGAAAGGAUCAACCCAGGACAAAUACUAUCGUGUCCACUGCUUGAGAAUGCCCUCAUGGUGUUUUAGUGAGUUAAGAAGAAAAAGAUCAGUUACUAGAGGAAGACAGAAGCAAGGGAGGACCCGGCAAUCUUACCUGGCCUCAAGGUAGAUAAGAGACCAGGCAAAAGAAAGAAAAUAUAAUAGCAGUCUUGUACAAGCGACAUUGUUUCUUUUAUGACACAAACCUCUAUAAAGUUGACAUGAGCACACUCAAUGACAUGCCGAGUAAACGGGCUGUGUCGAUAUCUGCUCAACCUCAUUCGAGAUUGAUCAACAUGCCCUACUAUUAUGUCCGAUGAAUGUUCUUCCAGCCCAGUAAAAAUAUCCCAUAUUAACAACCUUAAUCUCUUGUCGAUCGGCAACUCUUUUUUAUCUGUUGCACUUUAAUUCAAUGUGAAAAAUGGAGAGCGCAAAGUGCUCGAGAGGGACCAUAAAUUCACUUUUCUUUAAAUUAUGAGGAGUAGCUUGAGAACGAGGAUAGACCGAUGAUUUUCCCGUUUUGACAAGCCAGUGCCAAUGAUUGGAUUCUUACUAUCUUGAUUUUAUUGUAUGGAAAUUUUCUGUGAGGCAAUUCUAUUGGUUGUUUAUUUGUGAAACAAACAAAAUAAUGUUUUAUCUUGUGCCACAUAGGAAAGUUAGAAGGACGUGGGCCACUAAAUAAAUAUGAAUGUCUUCUAAAUGAUUCAAAUGAAGACAAUGGCUUGUGGGCUAGAUCCCAUAAUCCUCUCCCCCCCCCCCCCCCACAAUGAACCCACAAGCGGUGCCAUAUGAAUAGGGCAUCUGAAGGCCUUUUAUCGACGUUACCAAACCACCUCAGACGGCCCUAUCUCAUCUCAGAAUGCCUUCGAGAAGUUAUCCUACAGUGGUGAAUGUAUUGCUGAGGUCUAGCGCUCUCUGUUUUCUAGCCAUAUACCAGGCAAAAUGGACAGACUAUAUGAGUUUAGCUUCUGCUGCAUAGUCUUAAGGAUUAAUCUUGUCUAGAUUACUGUGCAACCUCUAGCGUAGGGGGCUAAUAUCUUUUUGUUUUUUACUCUGUCCCCCUCAACUUUGUCAACGUAUCUAAAUCUGCCCUAGAUAACUGACUUUCUAUUAAAAUGGGUGAAAACUAACUUAGGUAGCGUCACACGAGUCUUUUCAGCUUUUUAGAAGGAUGAAAGUAAUUAGUCACUCAAUUUUAGCCUUUACCACUGGCAUGGAAGGUUACAUGUUUCAAACAAACUGAUCAUGUUUAGUUUAUAAUUUUACGUAGUUCUAUAUGCUCUACCAAUUUCCCCAUCCUUUGGCCAAGGAGAGAAUUGAAAUUGAAGAUUGCUGCAUGAUAUAUUAUGAAAGUUCGCCUCAUGUGGGGCCACAGAUUCGAUGCCUCAUAUUCAUUACGCUCACGUGAAUAGUAUGCAUGCAAGUAUUGAACGACAUAAGGUAAUAGACACACAGAGUUCUAUCAACAUUUUGACUUAAGCAGGCAAAAAUUCGAGCGUAUUAAACACGGAAUUUUUGGAUAGUAGAGCCAUACCAUGAACUAGGAAAAUCAAGAAUUGAAUCUUCGACCCCUUUUCACUCUUGUCACUAUUAAAGGAGUCCGUUUUCCCCAAUAACUUGACUAUCAUGAAAUAAAUCAAUAAUAUAUUUAUAACAUACGACUUAACCGUCAUUUUAAGUAACAUUGAAACUUAUGAAAAACUUUUUGUAUUACACCUACAUCACGCGACAUGUUGGUGAAUAAGCAACGACAAAAAGAAACAAAAUGGAAUCAUCGGCUGUGAUGGCUCUGCUGGAUAGGCUUUUGUGAUUCUUUGCGAGAGAGGUGAGGAGUUCGAAUCUCUUGCAAUGUAAGGAGGCUGGUGGAGUUACUUGGUGGUUUCCCAUGUUGUCCCCAUAUUUUUCUCGCCGGCUGUCGGCUUAUGGGGUUUUCUGGAUCAUAAAAAAAAAAAAACAAAAUGGAAACCCUCGAGUCCAUAAAUGAUAAACAUGUCGACAUAGUAAUCUGGUGAAACCGAAAGAGAAGUACGAGGAACGUGAAAAAGGAGACGAAAAGGCGAGUAGUUGGAAAUGACACACGUUAUGCCCAUGACCAAUGAGCAAGGCCCAGCGUCGAGAAAGAGCUAGAAGCCCAUAACCAGAACGUUGGCUCAGGCUCAAACCUCGUUCCAGAAAUCUCGGGAACGUACGAGAGGACCUCCUUUUGUCCCCGUAAAUACCCAACACGUCCCUCUCCUCCCGACAAGGAUUCAGCAAGAAAGCCAAUCACCAAGGAACUCCAAAACCGUGCAGAAAUCGAUCGGGCGUCCUCCAAAGUCAAGCUUCAGUCCCACCGACUUAUUCAGAGACCAUGUCGCUCAUUCCGAGCUGGUUCGGUGGCCGACGCAGCGACGCCCUCGACCCCUUCUCUCUCGACUUCUGGGACUCCAUCGAGGACUCCCCUUUCCCUUCGUCUUCCCUCCCCGCCUCUACUUUCCGGGAAAAUUCCGCCUUUGUCAACACCAGGAUCGACUGGCGGGAAACUCCCAAGGCCCACGUGUUCGAGGCCGAUCUUCCCGGGCUCAAGAAAGAGGAAGUGAAAGUCGAGAUCGAGGACGAUCGGGUGCUCCAGAUUAGUGGAGAGAGGAAGGUGGAGAAGGAGGACAAGAAUGACAAGUGGCAUCGAGUGGAGAGAAGCAGCGGGAAGUUCAUGAGGAGUUUCAGGCUGCCGGAGGAUGCGAAGAUGGAUCAGGUCAAGGCUUCGAUGGAGAACGGAGUGCUCACCGUCACUGUUCCCAAGGUGGAGGAGAAGAAGCCCGAGGUCAAGGCCAUUCAAAUUUCUGGUUAGAGUCUGGAAUAGUAACUUGCGAGUGCUAAUGUGAAUUCGAGGCUUCGUGUGUGCAGAGUCUGUGCGCUUCAUCUCUUUCUUGUGUUUUUGGAGAGUUGUAUGAACCGGGUGUUGUCUCUGAUACACUGAUGUAAUCUGAACUGGCAAUACUUUUCUGGAAAAAAAACUUUACGUUAAUGUUGCAAUUGCAGCUCCAUUUUAUCUGGUAAAUUUGAUUGCUCGAGUGGAUGUUUGCUUUACUCUUGAUCUUGCUUGCCUAUCUUUCAUUUGGCUUCAAAGCUUCAGGAAUUAUUUGGAUUUUUCCUAGCUAGCAGUUUGCGUAGUGUAUUAUCCACUUGUUCACGAGCACAAGCAAUACAGUGGGGACCAAAAAAGCUGCCAAUAAGAAGACAGAGAGAGAAAAACCAAGUGCUUCUUUAAAAAGUUCAAUUACUCCGAGCUUUCGCAAAUUAACUAUUUGGUGUGUCCUGUUUAUUUGUCCUCGAUUGUUGGGUCUCUUCUGCGUAGAUUUUCAAAGAGAGUAAAACUAGCCUGAAUCAGCAAAAGCCUGUGUGUGUGAGAGCUUAACUCUGCAUGGCAUUUCAUAUCUCUGAUUGGAAAAGAGAUGAAGAAGAUGGAAAAUCAAGGGCGAAAUGGUAAGAGAUUGGUCCUGGUCCCGGGACUAUUCCAGGGCCACCUCACUCCAUGCUUCAGCUGGCGAUAAUCCUCAAGUCCAAGGGCUUCUCCAUCACAGUUGCUCACAAUUUCAACAGUCCAGAUUCCUCUGUUUUCCCCUAUUUCACCUUCUUAUGCAUACCUGACGGCUUGCCUGAAGAGGAGGUUCAAAACCCUGAUCUGAUAGCCAUUAUGCUGAGGCUUAAUGUAACUGUGAGUCCAGCUUCAGGGAGUGCCUAACUAGGGGCACAAAUCAUAUGGAGCCGGGUGACAAGAUUUGCGGCAUCAUCUACAAUGCAGUAGUGUACUUCUCAGAAACCGUUGCCCACGAUUUGAAGAUUCCUAGCAUUGCUUCACACACGAGCAGUGCUGCUACUACCAUAGUCCGCUCGAUUCUUCUCCAGCUAAAGGCAUUCUGAUCCCAGGUACAUGUUGAAUUUCUCUUAUUUAAGUUACACUUAUUUCUUUGUUAAUUAAUAUUAUGGUCACGGAGAAUCUUGCUCAUAUUCCGUUUUGUUUAUGAGGAUGGAUGUAUUGCCGAUUUUUUUUUUGCAGUUUUAAAAUCUGUGUGUGACCCUCGGCAUGACCCUAUAGUUUAUGAUCCGAUGAGUCUCCUCUGUGCCUAUACCUUUUCUAAGAAUAGUUUCUCUGUCAUCAUCCAAGUUUGACACCUAUGCCAGAUUAUCCUGAGCACCGUCAAACCACUAAGUAUAUAAGCCGGUGGGUUCUAGCUCACUUGUCUCCGUGCUGACUAACAAAUGCCUUUUGAUGUGCUCUAUUAGAUUCCAUGUUGCAGGCUCCGGUGCCCCUGCGUCAGCUCCUCAGGUUCAAAGACCUACCACUCUCCAAUUUUGGAAGUUUGGACUAUUUCUUGGAGUUGGUAGUCUUGACCAGUGAUAUGAGGUCGUCUUUGGCCAUUAUAUUCAACACGAUUCACUGCCUUGAAGAGUCACCUCUGGCGCAGCUUUACCAACAGUACCAAGUUCCAAUUUUUCCAAUAGGCCCUCCACACAAACUCACUCCUACCUCAGCUGUUAGCUUACUGUAAAGAGGAUACUGAUUGCAUUCCAUGACUUGACGAGCAAACUCAUAAUUCAGUCAUCUAUGUGAGUCUGGGAAGCAUAGCACAUCAGAACCAAGACCAGUUGUAUGAAAUGGCUUGGGGUCUGGCAAAUAGCAGGGAGCCUUUCUUAUGGGUUAUUAGGCCUGGCUCAAUUCCAGGUUCGAAAUGGAUCUAGUCGAUGGAUGAAGAAUUCACAGAAUGUGUUAAGGACAGUGGAUGCAUUGUGAAAUGGGCACCUCGGAAGAAAGUACUGGCUCACGAGGCAGUGGGAGGGUUUUGGAGCCACUGUGGAUGGCACUCUACACUGGAAAGUAUAUGUGAAGGAGUUAUGAUGAUAUGUCAACCAUGCUUUGGCGCCCAAAAGGUGAAUGCGAGGUACUUAACUCAUGAAUGGAGGGUUGGAUUAGAACUGGAGGGGAAGAUAGAGAGAGGGACAGUAGAAAGAGCUGUUAGAACAAUGAUGAAGGAAAAGGAAGGUGAAGAGAUGCGGCAGAGGGUCUUGGAUUUGGAGCACAAGUGCGAUGUUAGUAUAGGUGAUGGGGGAUCUUCUUGCCAUUAUCUGAGCGAGCUAGUUGGGUUGUUGAGAUCAUUCUAGCAGCACAGAGUUGUUACUACUAAAGCACCGUAGGGAAUGAAAUUUGUGUAGUGCAGAAAGUGCAAAGAUUGUCUUCUCACAUUGAAGAACAGAACAAAACAGGUAAUGCUUUGAUGCACCGACAGGAAUUUGUUGGCUUGUCAUAUGCAAGAUUUGGUCUUCUGGCAUUGAAAAACAGAACAGAUAAUGCUUUGAUGCGCUGACAGAAAUUUGUUGGCUUGUCACAUGCAAGUUUGAGUUGAAUCAAUCUCUUUAUUUAUUUAUUUAUUUAUUUUUUAUCUCUAACCAGUAUACCUGAUCUGAAUGGGUCAAAUUCACUUCUCCUUUCGUAUAUAAAAAUGUUGAAUAAACUUGACAUGGUUAUUCAUUAUCUCACAAUUUUGAAACAAAAACUAUGGGACACUUAUAAUUUGAUGGGACAUAUUAGAUCUGUUUAAGAUAAGGACUAUUAAAACAAACUUGUCAAAUAUGUUUAGAUGUUUAAAGGUGUGCUCAAAUGUGCACAAAUAUUCUUAGUGUGUUGUGACUAACUUGUCAACAUCAAAUUUGUCUAAACAUUUUAUAGAGAGGAUCAAUCCAAAGAUGAUAGCAGUUGUGUACAAGCAUAUUGUUUCUUUGACGACACAAACCUGUGUAAGCUUGACAUGAUGACGUGCUGAGUAAAUGGGCUAUGUUGAUGUGUGCUCAGCCUCAUCUGAGAUUUUGAUUAACAUGCCCUAAUAUUAUGUCCGACGAAUGUUCUUCUAGUCUAGAAAAAAAAAAAAAAAAAAAAAACAAACGUCAGAAAAAAGUGGAAUACCUUUACGAAUGUCCUAUAUUGAUUAGGGGUGAGCGAUUCUGGGUUCCUUAGAGGUUCCGCCUAGAACCUAGAACCUAGAACUUACUAUCAGAUACAGAUUUCUCAUUUUUUGGAACCUAGAACCUAUCCUGUCACAGAUUUUAAGGUUGAUUUUAGGAUCCAACAUGUUUUUUUUUUUCAUUUUUAAUUAAACAAAGCGAAAAUGACGCAAUAAUAAUAAAUAAGCUUGUCAUUCAUCAAAGAGAAUACACAAAACUAUCAAUAGAAGAAAAUGAAUUCUUGGCAAGAAAUUCAACUAGAUAGAAGUAAGGAUGAAUGAAUCUAAGUUACAUACAAGUUUCACUUGAAACCUACCCGUUGGAACAUGCACCUCAUUUUUUUAGAACUAGAAACCUACCUUGCAUAUCCUAGAACUUGGAAUCUAUUCUGUCAUACGUUUCAAGGUUUACCUAGGUCCCACUUAUAUUAUUAUAUGAACGAUUACAAUUCACUAAUCAUAACUUAUAUUUAGAUAUAUGAAAAAUAUGAACAUUAAUAAAGUAAAAAUCUUAGCCACAAAAUGGAAAUUCGGAUUAGUGUUUUCAGAUUAUAUACUCAUUGUUGAAUAACAUAGAAUAUUGGAAGAUCGCAUGGAGAUAUGGAUCAAGAAAAAUAUUAAAACUUAUUUCAGGUUGUAGGUUACAGAUUUCAGGUUGUAAGUUCCGAGUUUCUCCAAUUAAGAACCUAGAAUCUACUCGUUGAAAUAGAUUUAUCAUUUUUUGGAUUUUGGAACCUAUUCUGCAUAUUUUGGAACUUGCAUACUUUAGAACCUAAAACCUAUAGGUUUUCAUCGGUCCUCACUCGUCCAGUUCUCAAAUUCCAGAUUCUAUCAUGAAACCAUGUUUACCCCUAAUAUUGACAACCUUGAUCUCUUGUCAUUUGGCAUUUUCAUUUCUCUGUCGCACUUUCAUUCAACGGUGAAAAAUGAAGAGUGCAUGCUGCUGGCGAGGGACCAUAAAUUCACUCCUCUUUUCCUUAAAGUUUAUGAAAGAAUAGCUUGAAAAUGAGGACUGACUGAUGAAUUUUCCUGUUUUGACAAGCCAAUGAUGGUAAAAUCGGACUCUUAGGCACUAUUUGGUAAUCAUCCAAACAAUGCCUGAUUUUGAUUUUUUGUUCCCAGAAUCGGUUUGGGAUGAGAAUCGCAUUUGGUAAUUUUUUUUUCUGGGAACAAAUUUGUUCCUGGGACGAGAAUCAAGAAUAAAAGAAAAGUUGAUUCUUAUUCUGGGAACAAAAUUGAGAAUCAAAACUCUUCUUCUUCUCUUUUCUUCUUCUUUAUCGAUCGCCAUCCCAUGACCGCCACCCGCCGCCGUCCACCACCGGUCGCUGCUGCCCAUUGCCAUCGGUCGCCGCUGCCCGCCGCCAGUCGCCAGCGAUCGGUUCGACAAGCUCACCAAGCUAAAGCGAGGUCUGGCGAGCUCGCCGGUGGCCAAGCGGGCCUUGCCCAACUACUGGCGAGGCCGAGCUGACGAGGGCCGGCGACCGGCUUGAAAAAGAAUUAGAAUAGGAGAAAAAAGAAAAAAAAAAAGGAAAAAAAAGGAAAAAAGAAAAGAAAAAAAAUGAAAAAAUGAAAAAAUUAUUUAAAAAUUAAAAUAAAUUGAUUUGGAACAGAAUCAAUGAACACGGUACCAAAUGCAAGUAUAUGUUAAAAUCAGAAAUUUUGUACAAUUACCAAACACGUUCUUUUACUCAGAAUUAGUAUCGGGAACAGAAUAAAUAAUAAUAAUUUUUGAUCGGAAUUUGUUUUUAGGAACAUAAUCAUUACCAAGCGCGCCCUUAUUAUCAUGAUUUUAUUGUAUGGAAUCUUCUAUGGUCCAUCAGAUUGACGGAUUUUAAGGCCACAACAAAUCUUAACUGCCCGCAUUCAUGUAACCUCUAUACAAAAUGUUGUGAUACACUAAAAUUUGAAGGCAAUCACGAUAAUAGGCAAGAUACUCUUCAUUGAAUUCGGCGAUUGUUGACCGUUACGAAAUCUAUUCCAAAUGAUCCUUAGAAACACCCUAUUCUAUGAUCUCUUGAGGGACUAAUCUCUCACUGAAUCUCAUUGUGUUCGAGUUACUUAGUCCUAAACCUUUUAACAAUUUACCAAUUUACUUUUUAACCUUUCAAUUGCGAUAAUUUAGUUCUGAAGUAUUUGGUAAUUUGCUAAGAUAUUCAUUUCUAUGCAUCAUUAUUCUACUGACUUAUACAUCUUCGCUUGAAUAGUUACAUAUUUUCAUACAAGACAAUAUUUUUUCUGAUGUGUUCCACAUGCUUUUUAUAAUUUAUUUAAUAUAGUGCAUUGGAUUUUCAAAUAUGUGACUUAACUAAUGCUCGUGGUAUAAUUAAUAAUUAUGUCAGAAAAACCGAUUUCUUAUUUUCAAAAGUAAAAUAUUCAGAACCCCUUUGAUUUGGUGAUUUUUCCUCGUGGCCUCGCUUUUAAUGUAAUUUUAGCGUUACGUAAAUACCCCCUCUGUCCAAUCAGAUGAUUAGGGAUUUAGGAGGAUACUUGCACAUAUAUUGGGGGAAGGAACUCGUAGAAAAUGACGACAGCAUGCAAGAGAAAAGAAAGUAUUUUAUGUGAUGAUUACAGUAUGAUCGUGAGGAUGUGGUGAAAUCGAAUUUAUAAUUAGUUGCAUGAAUCUUAUCUUAGUUGACGUCAUGCCUAUUGCAUUUUCACUUUUAACUGACUUGUUACACCACUUGUUGUUGCCAUGUAAUGUAAUCGAUGAUGGCGUAAUCAUUGUGUACGAUGGCAUGGGCAGAAGUAAUGAUAAUUUAUUGAAAUUAUUGAAGAUGGAAUUGUGGAAAGUGAAAUAAUGAAAACGAGAUUUGGUUAAAAUUUAACGACUGUACUCGCUAUUGACUUUUUCAAUGAAGAAAAGGAACGUCUGAGAAAAAGACCGUGAGUACUAAUAGAAAAUGACAUCUCGUAGCUGGGGUUAGAAGUACCAUUGCUCUAACAUUAUUGGCCCAGUAUCAUUACCUAUUAGCAAAAUACCAUAUUUUCCUUACAGAUGGUAUUUCUCUAAAAGUAUCCGUUUGAUUGGUGGAAAGAUAAACAUGAUUCGACCAAUUAAACUAUAAGCCCAUAUGGAUCACCAAUUAAACUAUAAGCCCAUAUGGAUCUCUACAUGCAAUUCGCUCACUUUGGCAAGAGUGGACGGAAAGAGAAGGCCUUUGCUCUAUUUGCUUCUUCCUCUUUCUAGAAAUGAACAAUUGCAAAAAUAAUUUUCUUUUAUUAUUUUAUUAAUGAUAAAAUAAUAGAAUAAAGAGAUAGAUAGCCUGAUUUUAUUCCGAUAGAUUGAAAGAGUAGGAAUGGUUAAAGAGGAAAUCUCCUCUUUCUAUUUAUUGAUGAGACAAUUAUUGAUUUCUUGCCUAAUCUAAAUAAUAGAAGUUCCUUUUUAUUUUCAUAAUGUCAGCAAGAGUGUUGAUUCCGUGCAUUAAAAUCAUAGAUCCUGUUGUGACUUCCCUUGACCUUUGGAUUUGUGUCAAUCCUCUUGUUUCAACACUAGUUGGUCAUCUACUAAUUUGAUAAACUGGUGGGAUGAUUUCAAAAUCGAAUUCACUUUGUUGAUGGUGCAAUUGAUUAGCUUAUGAAUUUUGACUAAGUAUAUAGCGUGGUUCCUGAAUUUUAACUCAAUAUGCAAUGUGAUUUUCGCACUUUUAAUUUGUUUAAUAUAAAUUUUGAAUUUUUAGUAAAUAUCCGAUUUAAUCCUUAAAUAUGAGAAAAUAUUUAAUAUUAUACUUUCGUUCAUGUGUUUUAAUUGACCAACCAGGAUCUGGUGGUGCCGGAAAAGUACUGGCGAGGCCCAGUCCGCAGUUUCCAGAUGGACCAACCGGGUUCGCCAUUUCGCUUGAACGGUCGUCCGCCGAAACUCGGAAAGACCGCGAAGGUACGAGAAUGAUCCUCUCUUUCCUAUUUAACUCCCUACUUCCCUGCCCAACCCCUAUCGUUGAACGAUAGCAAUUCUCAUAAUCUACUUCACGCAUUCUAUCGGACACUUUGUCAACUCAGUCUCACGUUUUCAUUGGUAACCCAGCAAGGCAACAACCAUGUCGCUCAUCCCAAGCUGGUUCGGCGGCCGUCGCAGCAACGUUUUCGACCCUUUCUCCCUCGACCCCUGGGACCCCUUCAAGGACUUCCCUUUCCCUUCCUCAUCCCUCUCUGCCUCUAAUUUCCCUCGAACGUUCCGGGGGAACGCCGCCGCCUUCGUGAACACGAGGAUCGACUGGAAGGAGACCCCGGAAGCCCAUGUGUUCAAGACGGAUCUCCCCGGGCUCAAGAAGGAGGAAGUCAAGGUGGAGAUUGAAGACGACCGGGUGCUCCAGAUAAGUGGCAAGAGGAACGUAGAGAAGGAGGACAAGAACGACACGUGGCACCGGGUGGAGAGGAGCAGCGGCAAGUUCAUGAGGAGGUUCAGGCUGCCGGAGAACACGAGGAUGGAUCAGGUGAAGGCAUCGAUGGAGAACGGGGUGCUCACCGUGACUGUUCCCAAGGUGGAGGAGAAGAAGCCUGAGGUCAAGGCCAUUGAGAUCUCCGGUUGAGAGUUGGUGAAUCCAUGGUCCUUGUUGCGACUUAUGUCCAUAGAUAGAGCAAAUAUGCUGUCUUAUGUGUGGGUUUCGUGUGUCCUCAGCUGGGAGGCUCGGUUCCCUGGUGUCUGAUAUGGCGAUGUAUUGCCUCACUACGACUCUUUACUUGUAUUGAAAUUGGAGAUUACCAUUUCCUAACUUCUAUUUGAUGUUAUCUUGGUUCCUCAAAGCCUUUCGAUUGUGGUUUGUUCGUGGGAUGCUGCUUUUUUGAUUCGCAUACUGCUUUGUCGGACGGGAGUUAUGACUAGUUUUGUUCUUGUCGGAUGAUUAAUUCAAAUUGUGGGAAGGAUCCAUCAGAAGUGCAAGUGCCACACUUUGCACAUUGGUAUCGUUUUUUCAAUUGGGUUUGGAGGUACUUGCAAUAUAGAGAAGCUGAUAACUUUGGGAUUACAACCGGUUAGAAACCAUGUUACUCCCUAUGAGCUCAGCCCAAGGUGCGGGGUUGGGUUCCUUCUGCUGCAUUCGAUCACAUUUAUCAAAUAAUAGGAUAAAAUAUCGCAGUUAGCCUUUUAUUUCCUCGUGACAAUCAUCAGAUCAGAGAGAGAUGAUGAAAUUCACUAGUUCCUCUAUUGCAGCGUGCGAAGAACCUCCUUUUUCGAUGCUCAACUUGAUUUGGUCUUUGAAAGCCGCGGCUCUCAGCCUCAUCUCUUUCCCUUCCUCACCAGCCAUCAGCCUCCUCACAGCUUGCUCUAUCUCUUUCUGGUCUAGAUUACCCUCCAACUCCAAUCCCACCCUCCAAAGGUGGCACAAGUACCUCGCGUUCACAUUCUGGUCCAUGAAGCAGGGUCGGCAUAUCAUUGGGACUCCUUCGGAAAUGCUUUCCAAGGUUGAAUUCCAUCCACAAUGGGUCCAAAAGCCUCCCACAGCACGAUGUGCUAAAACAUCCUUCUGUGGAGCCCAUCUCACAACAUGGCCAGUAUCUCCGAUGGCUUCUUUGAAUCCUUCUGGCAACAGCUCGAUCCAUUCUGAGCCUCUGACUGAGCCAGGUCGGACCACCCACAAAAAUGGCUGGCCGCUCUUUGCCAGCCCCCAAGCUGUCUCUACAAACUCUCUUUCAUCCAUUGAAGCCAAGCUUCCUAAGCUCACAUAUAUGACUGAAUUAUUAGCUUGCUUAUCAAGCCACGACAGGCAUUCAGUUUCUUCUUCCAAUAUGCUGGUUGGUGAAGCUGGAGCAACUUUGUGCAAUGGGCCUAGUGAGAAAAAUGGCACAUGGUGUUUUUUUUGGACUUGGUCGGAUAACUGUUUCUCCAGGCAGUCCACUGUGUUCCAAAGAAUGGCUGAAGAUGUCUUGACAUCGAGCGUGGUAGCUAUUAAUCGCAUCAUUGGUUCUGGAUCACUAGUAAAAAGAGGCAAGUCCUUGCAUCUCAAGGGAUAAGCGCCUGGAACUGGAUCUUUCGACGAAUGAUCUGUAAAGUCAAAAAUACUGCUGCUUAGCAUGUGUUGCUUCUACGAUUUCGUAGUCUGAUGAAAACAUUAAAACUAGUCCGAAAUUUGAAUAUUCCAGCAAGUUAAAAAAGAGAUGGUCCUUUUAUUCCUAUUUUGUACUCAGUGGACAUUCUUUCUUCCUUCCUAGUCGGAUUGCUCUACAUAAAGGUGAGAAUAUGAUCUUUCACAAGCAGUUUCAGCAUGUGUGGUGCCGUUGACUUCACUUCCAAGCCGUCUACUCUGAUUAAACGAAGAGGUAAUAGGUGGUUUUGACAGCUGGGCUAACGUCUACUGAGUGGUUCGUCUUCUGGAAACUGAGUCGCCGUGAAGACCUAGUAUGCUUACCUUGUUUUUGCAGCAAGUGCUUUUUACGAAAACACAAAGAUUCCCUGUUAAAGUACUACUUGGUGAGUCGAAGAAAAAGAAAAUUACGAGCCAAGCUCAAAAUGUGUCAACAUGGACUAAUGAUUAGUUGACUCUCUAUUUAGCUUGGCUAAACGAUCUCCUCAAAUUUUGAAGAGACCCUAAAUUUUGCUGUCACAUUUCUUUGUGAUAAAAACACAAUUGAAUCAGAAGCCCUUCCAGUUUAUCGAAGUUCCACCAAAGAAAGUGUAUCCUUAACAUCCAAUUGAUGCCGCGUGCUUGUUACUCUUGAUUUCUAGUGAAAUUACUGUCAAACUACAUCACAGAGGUAACUAGAAGUUUAUUGCGCAUACUGAUAUCUGAUGGUUUAUUGUAUCUGUUACUAUAUGAGGAUUGAACAUACCUUUCGCUGGAAAAUAACCUUCCUUUUGGAGCCGAGGCAGUUCGGAGAAAAUCAGCUGAGUGCUGAUACUACUAGUGCGCAAAGCCAUGCUAGGAACUUUCAUAUAAUGAGCUGCGGCUUCUGCACAGUACAUGAGCGUAUCAUAAAUCACGCAAGAGAUUUUACUCUCGGUUGCUUCAUCCUGAGCCAUCAUAUCUGACAAUAGUUGGCAGAGAGGUCCUUCACAGUUGGUGUUGAGACUCGCGAAAAUAGCUGCGGCAUCCCCGGAGGAGAGGACGUCCUUCGGUAGGCAGUCAGGAAUAGACAAAAAGGUAAAAUUGGGGAAACCAAAUGGAUGGGGAUGAUUGAAGUGAGUGUGAGCUAUUACAAUAGAGAAGCCCUUGGAAUGCAGGAGGGACCCCAAAUUGAGCAUCGGGGUUAUGUGUCCUUGAAAUGGGCAGGGGACUAGCACCAAUCUACGAUUGCUUCUCUGCCCUCGUUCCUCCAUUUCUCUCAUGUCACUACAACCAGAGCCUCGUUCCUGGAUGAACUCGUCAUAUCAAUGGUCUUAUAUUCAAUACUGGGUCGUCGGUGAAAUGUUUAAGGAAAACAAAGAGAAAUCCUCUCAUUAAUUUGUUUUUCUUGCCUGGAGAGAAAAAUAGAAAAUUGGUAAACAAAUUAAUUACAUCAUUGAAGGGAGACGGGCUAAUUGAAAAUUGGCUGUCGCACCAUGAGACGUGGGGGAAACACCUACCCCAGGACACCAGAAAUUGGCUGUCGCACCAUGUCCGGCUUUGUUUAAUCUCACGAAAGAAUAUUCUUUUUCUCUGGCAAGAUUUCUAGUUGAUUUGAUUCCAUCCCAAAACUUGCUCUUAUCUCUUUGCGGAUUCAAAUUAUUUUGCUGCUGAGGCGACUCCCCCUAUGCGAUGGCAUUGAAGUCCACUGCUACUGACAUCACCAGAAGCUCGUUAUAUAUAAGAAAUGGGGAGGUUAUAACUUGUUUUAAACACUAGUGCUUAUAACUUUCUUGGCAUAGGAACUUUUCGCUGGUUUUCAUGUGAACCUUAUACACAUAAAUGUGUUAUAAAAGUUGACUUCCGGAAGGCCUAUGACACCGUAGAUUAGUGGUUCCUUGAGAGUGUGCUACUUACUUUUCAAUUCCCUGAUCAGCUGGUUUACCUCAUCAUGACCCGUGUGAGGACUCCUCAGUUUUUCAUUGCGUUGAAUGGGGAGCUUCAUGGUUUUUUUAGGGGUGUGCAAAAUACCCGGGAACCGCCCGGACCGCCCAGAACCGGAUCGGAACAGCUCGGAACCGGCGGUUCUUGAGGGAACCAGUCCGGUUCCCAGUUCCAAUUUAUGGGAACCGGUGGGUACCGGUCCUGUUCCCGGUUCCAUGGGCAGAUCCGCCCGCCCACCCACCCAGACCGGACCGGAAUCUUUUUAAUAUUAAAAAAAAAAUUACUAAAAGAAACCCUAGAUCUCAUCUCACUCCCUUCGUCUUCGGCUCCUAAUCCUAUCGCCAUUUCGUUGCAUUUACUUCUCCCACCGUCCGCAUUUCCACGUACUUAAAUUUGGUUUUUCUUUCUUUGACUUGCUUUGAUGUCACGUAGUCGUUCUAUGUUGAAAACCAAAAUUGAUUCAUGUCAAGAUCGGUUCCAUGGAUCCACCUGGGAACCGGACUGGACCGAUGGUCCGGUUCCCGGGUGGAUCCAUGCAACAAACAGGUGGAUCCCGGUUCCAAUUUUUUGGAACUGGUCCUUAGCGGGCGGUUCCUGGUUCUAGGUUGAGAACCGCCUGCUCGAACCAUGCACACCCCUAGUUUUUUUUCCCAGUGGAAGGGGCUUGUGUCGGGGGGAUCCCAUAUCUCCCUACUUAUUCACGCUAGUUAUGUAGGUACUCUAUGGGAUUCUUGGGAGAUGCUCGCGUCAGCUGGACUUCAGGUUCUUCUGAAGAUGUAAGUCCACUAGCCUUUUGCACUUGUUUUUCGCAGACGGUGUGUUUCUUUUCUGUGAAGGUCACUUGCCUUCUAUUAAGCUACUUAAAGAAGGUCUUCAGAGUUUUUCAUUAUGGAGUGACCUUAUUUCGAAUUAAAUGAAGAGCGAGGUAUUCCUCUCUAGAGGCCAACCGACUCUUCGGAUCAAAUCUUACUGGAACUUGGAUUCCAUGAGGGGCUCCUUCCAGUUCGGUAUCUAGGCGUUCCAAUCAUCUCAUCGAGGCUGGAGAAAGCGGACUAUGUUGCUCUUGUUAGGUGUAUCACCUCUAAGGUAGAAUCUUGGACACAUUGGUUCCUUUUUGUAGCUGGUCGUCUUCAACUGAUCAGAUUAGUUCUUUAUGCCAUUCAGGCCUAUUGGGUGAGUGUUUUUAUUCUGCCCGCAGCAGUGCUGGAUAAGAUUGAGCAGAUCUUUAGGCAAUUCCUCUAGAAAGGAUUUCAGUUGGGUAAAGGGGGAGUCAAAGUAUCCUGGGAGGAUGUUUGCCUUCCUAAGGUGGAAGACAAUCUGGGUAUCCAGAGGUUGCGUGAAUGUAACAAAGCGGCUAUGCUCAAACAUAUCUAGAUUUUAUUUUCAGAUAAAGAGUCUCUUUGAUGCAGAUGGAUCCACUCAACCUUCUUAAAAAUGGGGAACUUAUGGGUGGUGAAGCAGCCGACCUGUUGUUCUUGGGCUUGGAAGAAACUACUACAACUCAGGACAGAAUUCCGGCUUCGCUUCCACUGAAGGAUAGGUGAUGGUCUAUCCACGUCCCUUUGGUUCGAUAAUUGGCAUCCUAAGGGCCCGUUGAAUCUAAUUUUCAUAGAUCCGCUCAUCUAUAGCUUCGGUCUUUCUAGGUAGGCUUCAGUGGCUAAUUUCUUCUUGGAGGACGGCUAGUCUAUUGGAUCGGUGAUUCAAACAUGAGGCUCGCCACUUCCUACCUUGACUAGUGUUAUGGAUCGAUUUUGUUGGAGGGAGGCUUCUUUGGGCGUGUUCUCGAUGGCCUCGGCUUGGGAGCUUAUAAGGCGAAAGAAGGAGAGAGUUAGUUGGCAUGGUCUCAUCUGGAACAAUGCCAUCCUACCUCAGUUCUAACUGAACCUUUGGCUCAUCACCAAGUGCAGGCUACCUACACAGUCUCUUCUUAUGUCCCAUGGCGGGAUUGAUGCUGUGUCUUGCCCCUUCUGCAAAGAGGUACCAGACUCGGUCGAUCACCUCUUUUUUGGUUGUCACAUCACUUCGACUGUUGCCUUCUUUUAGGCAACUAAAUGUGGUCUUCCUUGGAGUAAUAAGCCUUGGGAGGAAAUGCUUAGUUGGGUUUCAGCCUUGCUCUUGGGCAAGGAAUUUUAUAAAUGCAUUGGUCGAUUCUCUUUCGGAGCACUCUGCCACAUCAUUUUGAAGAAUAGAAAUGAUAUUCUCUUCAGGGGUGUGCAGAUUUCUACUUCGGCUAUGAAGAAGCACCUUUUAAAGGUUGUUAAAGAUAAUGCUUGCACCUUCAAGAAUGUGGAGGAUUCCCCAAGAAAUAGAAGAGUGCAACGUUCCUGGGAAGUGGACUCGGCUAUCUUCGACGUCUGAGUUGGCCUUGCCUGGGUAGACACUUGGUGCUGCUUUGUGUCCUUCCUUGGUGUGUUAUCUUGUUUUGGUGCUAUUGGUCAAUUGGCCUUUUUUCGGCUUCCUUUCACUCAUCAUGAGCCUGUUCAUCUUGAGUGACAGUUUUUUGAAGCCGUUUGUCUGUACUUUUUGACCUUUCCCUUAAUAUUACUUACCUUACAAAAAAAAAAAACUUUCUUAAAAAAGUCACCAUACGGAAGUAGUACUUGGUAUAUAUGAAUGUUUUGUAGCAGAAACUCACAGGCUUAAGUAAGCUGACAAAGCUUGUCUUAGUCAAAGACAGUUGGAGAUAGCAGGACUCAGAAGCAAAAGAGCUUCGAAGUCUGCAUCCUUUCAGACACCUUUCUAUUUCUCGAGACAAAAUCAAGUGCAUCAAAGAAAUGUAAAGCUCCAUGAUUCAGCUGCUAUGAAAUUCAAACUAAUCAGAGGGGCUUCUCAUGUUCUUUUUUCACAAUAUGAGAAAUGCUAAUGUUUUUUGAGUAGAACGUUCAAAGAGAACUAGCAUUCGGAGGCCUGACAGAUUGAGAUAUGAAAUCAGAUUUCUUAUUUGAAAGCUUCAUAAAGACCAAUAAUGCUCUUGCUUCUUCCUGUCGUCGAAUGACACGAGCAGUCUCAUUGGGAUUGACUUAAGAAUGAAUGUUCCUCCUCAGGAUGUUAUCUCUACAACGACAACAGGAGCAACCGAGCCUCAUCCCACUAAGUGGGGUUAGUGAUAGGAAUUAUAUUAUGCUGUUGUGCUUGAUCUUUUUCUAGAUUUUCUAUGAGCUCUUCCACGUUUUUCUAGGAUUUCCCCUACUCCUUUUAACUAAUACAUCCCAUCUUUGUUCACAUUGCCUCGCCGGGGCACCUAAAGGCCUUUGUUCGACAUUACCUAAUGAUCUCAGACGGCCUUAUCUCAUCUGAAGGCCUUCUAGAUGUUAUGCUGAGAUCUAGUGGCCACACUUCUUUCAAUUGUAAAGCCAUGCACCUGGCAAAAUGGACAGACUAUUUGAGAUUUCCAUUGGUUGCAUAAUCUCAAGGAUCUAGAAAAACCUACUUUCUAUCAAAAUAGGUGGAGACUAAAUCACGUGUUCUCACACGGCCUUUUUAGUCUCUUUAGAAAGGUAAAACUAAAUAGUCACUCAACCUCCUCUUUACCACUAGUUAGGGAAGGCUGCAUGUUUCAAUAACUGUUCAAAACAUCUAGAAUUCAGAGGAUUUAUGUCAUUUUCUCUGCCAUUUCUUCAUUUUUUGGUGGGAAAAUGACAUAAAUCGUCCAUGAAUUUUGGUCUAAUGUGCAAUACCGUUCAUUAAUUUUUAAGUUGUUCUAUGUACCUGUUGAACUUUGAUCCAAUGUGGAAUGUCAUUCUUCAACUUUUAAUUUGUUAAAUAUGAUGGACUAUUGAUAGAUGUUCUAUUUAACCUCCUAGAUUAUGUCAAAUUGACAUAAACGGAAUGACUAUAUUGAACGUUUAUCAGUAGUUUAGGGAUUAUUAUAUAGAUUAAAAGCUUGAGGACGAUAUUGCAUAUUAAGUUCAAGGACUACGCUGUGCAAAUUAAAAGGUCAGAGAUGAUAUUGUAAUUGGAUCAAAGUUCAUGGACUAUUUGAACUAUAAUCCCUUCUUUGGUUGAGAAACGAUAACAAAAAUAAGAUCCCAAACUUAAGACACUUUAUGGGAAAAAGGGUAGUGACAGAGACGUUUGUUUUCUUUUCAACAAUAACUUUCUCUUAUUCACAUUGUGAUGUAAGAAAGCUAUUAUAGACAAUAUAUGGAUUUAGGUCGUCUCACGUAGCGCAGUAUGAAUUGAUGCUUCAUUGCAUUAUGCUCACAUAAAGAGCAUGCAUGUAAUUAUUGCAUAAAUAAGGUCACAAACACACAUGUUGAAUCGAUAUUUUAACUUGAGUAAGCAAUCUAGGCGAGCCUAAGACAAAAUUUUUGGAUAGGAGUGUGAUAUCUUGAAUUUCAGGAUUUUGUUUUCAAUUGAAUAAGUUGGGCUUUUUAUCGACGUGCCUAUAGCCUUUUUCUCUGGGUUGGCCACUCACGAGAUAACUAGCCUAUCAGGUGAAGCCAUUAAGGAAUUUUAACGUGAUAGAUUUGAGAAUUCGACCAGGAAUCAAUUGCUCGACCGUGCUAAUCUAUAAGAGUCGUUAUGGCAUAGUUAAAAAUCGAUUAGAGACCGGAGAUAGGUUGAUUCAACUUAGGCACGUGAUUAAGUGUGGGUGAUUCCACCUAAUUGCAAAAUUCUCGUUGAUCGACACUAGAUUGAUUUUUCUAUCGUUUUGGUAUCCUGUGUCCAUAUUUGAAACCUCGAGAUUUUCACAAUAAUCAAGAAUCGCCAAUGCGUCGAAGAGAUAUGUUGUGGCUCGAAAACAAUUGACCACAACUCAAUUGCACUAAAAAUUCCUAAAAAUUACCCGUAGAUUAUGUCACACUAAAAUCGCGUCAGAUUGAAAUUAACCAUGAAAUUGAAACUUUCUGUUAUGUCACAAUUUAUUUUAGGAACGUCGACUCAUCAUUUGAAGAAUUUUUAGCAAGUUUGGGAUUUUUACGGAAAAUCAUUUCAGACGAUUUGGAAAAUAACGGAAAUUUGGAUGGGCUAAUCGAAUGGAUUUUUGACUUCCAAAUCGAGCUACUUGGCGAAAGGAAAUUGUAGAAAUUGUAUGGGCUUCUUCUUCAUUAAAAUCGGACACCAAAUUUGUCACAACCCAAACCUCGAGCGCAUGCACAUCCCUCGGUGGUCGAUAAAAUUUUGCGACGUCCUAGGAAGUGUCGCCGACCCAUUUAGUUUAUGGCACAUGUGGAAACACAAUAACAAUCUCCAAACAACAUAAAAGUGGGAUAUAAACGUAGGAUAAUAUUUUCACAAAACACACUUAUAAUAUAGCAAUGUAUAUAUACAAAAAAGUCUAACACCAUAUGGAUCUAUUUCAAAAAGAAGAGCUUUUGGGCUAUCUACGCUCUGAGCCCCUCUUCCAUGAGACUAGAGUCUCCUCCGAUCUUGUCAGACUUCUUGAUAACCAAAGGGUGAACUGUUACCCACUGUCCAAAUUAGAUCGAAGGCCUGUUGACAUCUGGCAGGAACUAAAGAAAAACCCAUACUUCACUUCUUGCGAACCCCUGCACCUUGCUUGAUGAUCUUCCAUCUAGGGACCUGAAAAUGGUUAUACAAUAACCAGUGAGACAAUAUCUCAGCGAGUCCACUCCUUAAACCUCGAUUAGGAGAAGAAUACACCCAUGGGUAACCUAACCACAUUUCCUCAAACUCAUCUGGUACCAAUAUUCUCAUGCGCGUCAGUACCAAUUAAUUUGCAUAUAAUCGAAUGGAAAUCAUGUAUCAUUGAGACAUCUCGACAUGUAUACACAUAUAAUUAUAUAUCAUCACUGAUUCAUGGGCCUCGAUUACUAAAUCAAAUUGUUAUGAUACGUCCCAUACCGCACCACACAAUUCCAUCUUUUAAUUAAGCCCCUCAAUUUCAAUUAUUCAUGCGUCCCAAUUGAUUAUGAUCCAUUGGUCACGGCCGACUCAAUAGUUAGCGGUCUUCCGGCUUAACUGGGUUUCGUCUCGUACCAUCGAGCAUAGCAACGUUUACAUUUAGAUGGCAUUCCUCAAAGGAGCAUCGGCCCAACAUCCACUACGAUCGGCAUCUGUUGACUUGGGGUAUUCUCGAAGAAGCAUCAUCCAGCCCCAAAGGCGUGUGACGGCAUAUCAUAUCAUUCAUGCAUUCAUUCAAUUUCGGCCAACGACACCAUGUAUUGCACUCAAAUGUCUCAAUUAAAAUAGUGAUCUUAGCCUAUUUUCUUCAUAUUAUAAAUACAUGGUAAAAUAAUUGUGUGUGGUGACACGAUCAGUAGAACCAGAAAAUUUGUAUCAUCUUUUUUAAAAUCUCACUGUUUGAUAUAGUACUUAAAAACACUUUUGGUAUCCAAAACCUAACACCCGGUAUUUUUUAAUUAAAUACCAAAUUUCCGCUAUUUUGAAUUAAAUAUUCACAAUUAACAACCAUCACUCAAUUGCACAAUUUAACAGUCAAUGGCAUAAAUUGAACAUACUAUUGAAAUCAGCAUGAAAUUUCGGUCACCGGCUAUCCCGGUAUAGUUUCCGGAGAAUAUUAAAUAAUUAAUUAAAUUAUAAUUAAAUCAUUUAAAUUAAGUAUUUAAUUAAUUACUGAUUAUCAAAUUUCGCUACCAAUUAAAAUUGAUCACAACUUGACCCACUUAUUAAAAUGUCUAGCUACAUUAAUGCCUUAUAAUAACCUCAUAGGUUAACUAUUUAAUUAAAUACUCAAAUCCCUAACUAAAUAGUCUAACUACCUUAACUAACUUGUCUAACUACCUAGUUCUCCUAAUUAACUUAGCUAACUAAUUUUUACCCUAACCAAACUAAUUGUUAAUCUUAAUUAAGCCUAAUCCAACACUUAAUAAGUGUAAUCAACUCCUAAUCAAUAAUUAGGAAACUAACUCACCUAAAUUAAAAGCUAAUAACUUCUGGUGGUGGCGGAGCAAUGGCAACUAGACAUUGGCCUCCGGGGGGUGCCGGAGGGGGUCUGGUCGACCUGGCACAGGCUUGCAAGACCCUCGGCUUACUAUUGGGAAGCUGUCUUCUUGGCUGGUUCAAGCUGAGCAACGAUGGCGCAAGGUAGCAGCGUAGCGGCGCUGAUUGGCUGGUUGGUAGGUUGGUUUGGCGCUGCUGAAGUUCCGGUGGUAGGGCAAUAACAACGACGAAGAGGCGGGGUUCUAUGGUGGGGAUGGUGAUUUGAGACAGAGGAUGGGUGAGCUGUGGAGUAGCGACAACAACGGUGGACAAAGGUGCUGAGUUUCCGGCGCAUAGUACAGGGGUCGUACCGGUUGUGGCAAGCUGUCGGCCUGCUGGUGGGGGUGACUAAUUAGCAACCAAAGGCCAACUCUAGGAGAAAUGGAACAUGAAAGGCAACUGGAUUCGGGGUGAUGCUGGUUCUGAAAUCAGCAGCACCAAAAAAGAGCUCUUCUCUGUUUUUGGCUAUUGUGUGGUUGGCAAAAGGGGAAACGGGGGAGGCCGAACACUUAAAGAAGAACAAGACAAGGAAAUUUUCUAUAGGGAAAAAGAGAGGAAAAGGAAAAAAAGAGAAAGGGAGAGAGAGAGAAGUGGUUGCACGACACAAGGAGGGAGGGUUCGCACGGAUGGGGAGAGAGAAGAGAGAAAAACAGACCAUGGAAGGUCCCCCCUCCAUAUUUUCACACUUAGUCUGUUUUUCAUGGAAUAUGAGGUCCUUUCACUCUCAAGGGACCUACCACUCCCAAAUGAGUAUCCAUCCCCACAUGCACCCCAAAUGAAGUUGAAUUCCCGUUGUGUAUGUAGACCUUCGAAUUUGAAGACUUUACAUUACAUUCUUUCUUUUUUUCACUUUGCCAUUUAAUAGACUUAGAUAACAAAGAUAAGGCCUCAAUUAAAUCCUCAUAAUUCCGAUCUCCAAUGGUUUCACAUUGAAGACAAAAAAUCCAUUUAAAUUAUGGCAUUUUCCAUUCACUUAACUUGCUGCAAUUUGAAUUUCCCAUCAAAAUUUCAAGUUUAUCAAAAGAUCUUGAGAGGGUGCAUCGGCGUUCCUAGAAUUAAUUGUGAUAUGCUAGAAUUCUCAAUUUCUGAAAUCGGAUUAAAUUUCACGGUUAAUUUCAAUCUGACGUGAUUUUAACUUGAUCUAAAUUACCGGGUAAUUUUGAGGAAUUUUUGGUACAAUUGACUCGUGAUCAAUGAUUUUCGAACCACAAUGUAUAUUUUCGACUCAUUGGCAAAUCUCGAUUGUCGUGAAAAUCUUGAGAUUUUAAUUACGGGCACAGAGUACCAAAACAACAGAAAAAUCGGUUUAGUGCCGAUCGACGAGAAUUUUGCAAUUAGGUAGAAUCACCCACGCCUAAUUAUAUACUUCAAUCGAAUUGAUCUAUCUUCAGUCUCUGAUAGAUUUUCGACUGUACUGCAAUGACCCUUGCAGACUAACAUGGUCGAGUAGUCAAUUCUUAGUCGAAUUCUCAAGCCUGUUGUAUUAAAAUCUCUUAAUGACUUCUCCAAAUAGUCUAGUUAUCUCAUGAGUGAUUGGCUCAGAGAAUAACACAAUAAGCACGUGAUAAAAAGCUCGAUUUAUUCAAUUAAAAACAGACGUGGAAAAUUAGACCAUCACAAAAUUGGAGAGGAUUGCGAAAAAUUUGAAGUCCAAAAAUAAGGAAAUUCGGAGGUUGGUUUGUGGGCUGGAAUUUUGGCUUCAAAUUAGUUUAUUUGUGGAAUUAAUAUACAAGAAAGUAAUUUGAGACAUGAGGAAUAAGAUUGGAGACUAGGGGGACCAAGCAUUGAUUAUUUGAGAUAAUCCUUUGACUGUUUGCUCCUCUCUCUCAUCCAGCUUCUCGGGCACGCCUUGCCGGUCUUCAUCUUCUUCAAAAUUUUCUACCUCAGCUGAAGACUUCAUCCAUUUUUCCUUGCUUCUGUUUUGUCUGCUUUUCUUUCAUUCUGUCAAAGUCCCCCCCACCUGCUCCGAUUUGAAUUUCCUAUCAAAAUUUCUAGUUUGUCAAAAGAUCUUGAGAGGAUGUAUCGACGUUCCUAGAAUUAAUUGUGACACGGUAAAAUUCUCAAUUUCUGAAAUCGGAUUAAAUUUUAAGGUUAAUUUCAAUCUGACGCGAUUUUAACAUGAUUUAAACUACCGGGUAAUUUCGAGGAAUUUUUGGUACAAUUGACCCGCGGUCGAUGAUUUUUGAACCACAAUGUACAUCUUUGACUCAUUGGCGACUCUCGGUUAUCAUGAAAAUCUUGAGAUUUCAACUACGGGCACAGAGUACCAAAACAAUAGAAAAAUCGGUUUAGUGCCGAUCGACGGGAAUUUUGCAAUUAAGAGGAAUCACCCACGCCUAAUUAUAUAUCUCAGUCGAAUUAAUCUAUCUCCGAUCUCUAACAAAUUUUCAACUGUGCCGCAAUGACCCUUGUAGACUAACACGGUCGAGCAGUCGAUUCUUAAUCGAAUUCUCAAGCCUGUUGCAUUAAAAUCCCUUAAUGACUUCCCCAAAUAAUCUUGUUAUCUCAUGAGUGAUUAGCUCAGAGAAUAACACAAUAGACACGUUGAUAAAAAGCUCGAUUUAUUCAAUUGAAAACAGACGUGGAAAAUCAGAUUAUCACAAAAUUGGAGAGGAUUGCGAAGAAAUUGAAGUCCAAAAAUAAGAAAAUUCGGAGGUUGGUUUGUGGGCUGGAAUUUUGGCUUCAAAUUAGUUUAUUUGUGGAAUUAAUAUACAAGAAAGUAAUUUGGGACAUGAGGAAUAAGAUUGGAGACUAGGGGGACCAAGCAUUGAUUAUUUGAGAUAAUCCCUUGACUGUUUGCCCCUCUCUCUCAUCUAGCUUCUCGGGCAUGCCUUGCCAAUCUUCAUCUUCUUCGAAAUUUUCUACCUCAGCUGAAGACUUCAUCCAUUUUGCCUUACUUCUAUUUUGUCUGUUUUUCUUUCAUUCUGUCGAAGGCCCCCCCCCCCCCCCCCCCCACCUGGCUGGGAUUUCCUCUCCUCGAUCUUCCUUGCUCCCCACCAACUCAACGCUAGUGAAGCAGCCUAAUCUAGUAAACUCCAACUCCCUCGAAAGGCCCAAGUAUUGACCUUGCAGCUUCAUUUCCUUCGUUCUGCCCUCUCCACCGCUCGAUCACCACCACCGUUCAACUGCCACGAAGACGAGCGCCCCACAAUUCCUCCACUUUCUCUCUCUCUCACUGCUUUAGCCUUGAUUUCAUUUGCUCCUUUGCCACUCGUCCAACAUCAUGAUCGAAGCAGCUCAUGCUAGCUCGCGUUUCCCCUGCCCCUCUUCGCGUGGCUUCAUUUGGCCGAGUCAACCUAGCAAAUUUUCCCCCCAAUGCUAACUUCAACCCACUGACUUGAAGCCCAUCUCCAUUGAUUUUCAUACUAUCACGUCCACCAUUCAUCACCGCAACUACCACUUGUCUGUCUCCCUGUAGCAGUCAACCCCACCGAAGCCAGCUUCUCCUUUGCCAUUUCUUUCUUCUGCCAAUGAUCAGCCCACGAGCCCAAUAGCUUCUUUAACGCAAGUCCAGCCCGUUCUUUACCGUUCAGCCCAACUCUCCAUAGCCCAGCCCCCCUUUGAAUUAGAAUCAAAGCCAGCCUAGAAUCAAGCCUAGCUUCAGCUCACGUGUUUUUUUCUUCACUCUUUUUGAAGCCCGCAAGUUUAGUUGCUGCAGCCCGUGAACUUUAGCCCACCGAAGUCAGCCUAGCAGCUCGUGCAUCUCACCUCAAGCCCAGGACCAGGUCUAGCAGUUGUUGUGGGCUUGCAAGGCCUUUUUGGCUUGGUCCAAGUGUCCAUUGGCAUUGCCGAAAGUUCAAGUUUUGGCCGCCGUCGCACCACCGUCGCGGUGGACCGGUUUUCACAUUAAACCGGUGACUUUAUGCAGUAAACUCUACUUAGUAGGCUAACGACAUUUAAUGGGUGUUUAGUUUAAGUUAAUUAGGGAUUAUGUGGUUAGUUAGAUUAGAUUAGUGAUUUAACUAGUUAAUUAUGCAUGUUAGGUAGUUAGAAUGACUAAAUUAGCAUCUAGAUAGAUUAUAUUACUUAUCUAGAUUGGUUCAGAAAUUUUUCGAACCUGAAUCGAUAUUUAAUUUGGCUUUUUAGGCCCAAGUGUACAUUUUUAGUAUUUAUUAAUUAAUUUCCGUAAUUAUUUAAUUAAUUAGUUAUUUUCCGGAAAUUAGACCGGGAUAGCCAGUGACCGGAAUUUCGUGCUAAUUGCAAUUGUAUGCACGGUUUAUUUAAUUUAGUGUUUUUUUUUGGUCAAGUUAUUUAAUUUAGUGUUGAUUUAUGCAAAUUAAGUGAAAAUUUUAAUAUUGGGUAUUUAUUCUAAAAAUUGAGUAAUUUCGAUAUUUAAGCAAAAAAUGCCGGGGCGUCAAUUUUUAACACUGAAAAGGUUUUCAAACACUAUAUAAAUAGUGUGAUUUUCUAAAAGAAAAAUAUUGCAUUUUUUGCUUAGGACAACCGUGUACCCACACACGAUUAUUUUUAUUAGGUAUUUUUAACACGAAGAAAAUAGACCAAGACAUUAUUUUAAUUGAGAAAUUUAAGUGCGAAGCACAUUGCCCUUGGUCGUGAGUUAAUAAUUGUGUGGUGGUUUAUAGUUAGGGCGUGUUGAUUAUUGAAAGUUGAGGUGAUAUAUGCCCGGUUGAGGGAACUUGAUGGGUUGUGAGCGGGUAAAGGACUAAGUACUAUACGAGUAUGAGACUUUGUGUGAGUUACCUCUAGUGCUUUAUACCAUUACUUAUUCUAGUCAAGGGUUAAGUGUUACAUGGCGACCUGAGUUGCAUGGGAAUUACCUAUAGAGCCUUGUAGUAUUGUCAUGCAUAGUGAAGGGUUAAGUACCACACGAGGAUGAGACUUCGUGUGAGUCACCUUGUCACGCCCCGAUCCUUGGGUACGGGCACAUCGUUCACCCUCGGUCGAUUGCUAGCAAUAUCCCAGAACGUAUCGCCGACCCUUUUAUUUUAGAUAUGCACAUGCAGAAGCAAUUAUAAAACCCCAAACAAUAAAACAAUGUGAUAGAAUAGUAGGACUCAAAAUACUGAACUUUCAAAAACAACCACACUUAUAUACAUUGCAAACUAUAGUGCAAAUAUUACAAGAUGAAUGGUCAAGCCAGGUUUUAAAUCACAAGUUCAUAAAAUCAAGUCUGCAACAAAUACAAAGAGAUUUGCCCUAUGACUAUCUAGAUCGAUAGGAUCGUCAAUUCUUCAGGUUUCCCCUCCUUCACUUCGGGCCUCUGAUCCUUCAUUAAUGCUGUUUAAGGACCUGAAAAUGAUUAUUCAAUAACCGGUGAGACAACAUCUCAGCGAGUUCUACUUCUUAAGACCCGAUUAGGAAACCAAUAUACCUUAGGGCUGCCUAUGCACGACACGCGUCAGAUGACUUAUCUUGACCCCAGUCUCAACUUGCAAAUUAGUACAGUUCAAUAGACACCCAAACAAUCACAACAGAUCGAAAUAUCGAUCAAAUCGACCUGAUCAAUUACAUAUCAACCGGACAAUCUCUUGGUCAUUCCCAUCCAUACUAUAUAAUAUUCUAAAUAGUAUAUACUAGUCACCGAGCCACGUGCAUUCUCUAAGGCGACCUAUUCACCAAGGCGACGUACUUAGUCACCGAGCCACGUGCAUUCUCUAAGGUGCCAAGUUCGCCAAGGUGACGUACUGAUCAUUGACCACGUGCAUUCUCUAAAGCGCCGUUUUCGCCGAGACGACGUACUAAUCGCUGAGUUAGGUGUCUUUUCCAGGUGAUGUAUAUAAUAAAUAAUUUACGUGGAUCCUUUCAAGCGACCCAUUCACCAAGGUGAUGUACUUAAUUACCGAGCCACAUAUGUCCAUAAGUCACUUGCAUUCUCUUAGGCGACCUAUUCGCUAGGGUGAUGUACUUAAUCACCGAGCCACGUAUGUCCAUAAGUCAUGUGCAUUCUCUUAGGCGACCUAUUCGCCAAGGUGAUGUACUUAAUCAUUGAGUCACAUAUGUCCAUAAUUCUUUCUCAACUUUAGUAUACUCGAUAACAUCGUACCCGAUUGGUCCUAGUAAAGAGUAUAUUUAAUUUAUUCUCACGAUUUUCUCCACUUUAUAGCCCAUCAAAGCAUUACUAGCGCUAUAUACCCAUACACGUCCAUUUACCAAUCAAUUAUCCAAAUUUACUCAAUUUAGGAAUAAUUCCUAAAAUUCCAUGAUCAAUUCAAUUCAACAUAACGUAGGACUCAAAUAAAUAAACGAACUACACCACGACAAUCAGUAUAAAAUUUCGGUCGUCGGCUAUCCCAGCCUUAUUUUCGAAAAAUAAAUAAAUAAAUAAAUAAUUACAAAAAUUAAUUAAUAAAUACUAAUAAAUCCAACUUAAGCUCAUAAUGUCUAAUUGGAGCUCAAUAUGGGUCGGGAAAAAUCCGGAGAGACAUUCAAUUAACACUAGAGCAUUUCUACUCCAUAAUGACUAUGUUUAACCACCUAACAUGCAUUGCAAUUAACUAAUAAUCACUAAUCUACUUUAAUCUAACCACCUAAUCCUACUUAAUUAACACUAAUCAAUUCUUAAGCAUCAUUAGUCUACUAAGCGAUGAUUAGUGCGCUAAACUCACCCGUUUUACAAUCCGCUCGGAUUGAAACGUCGGGAAUGUCACGGGGGAUGUUUAACUCCAAAGCGGGCCUAGGGUUCGGGGCCCGGAACAUCCUCAAAGCGAGCCUAGAAACCUACUGGAAACCCACAAAAUUCUGGUCUGAUUGAGCUGCAUAAACAGAAGCAAACAAGUUAGUUUGGUGUGGGAAGGCUCGGAGAUGGACAACGGGAUGGUUUUGGGUCCAAACCGGCGGCUUGGGAGGCUUCCUCGAUCACUUGCAGUAGCUAAACAGAGGCUUGGAUGGCUGGACAGAGGGUUGAACGACGUGAGGGAGGUAGGCAAAGGGGUGGCGUGCACGGUGGAGCACUCAUGGGUGGCGGCGUGCGAACCGGCGACAGCGAGGCAGCGAUUCGACUUCCGGGUGGCGUGUGGCUUCAGCUUCUUCUCUAGUUUCUGGUUUCGCACAAAAUGGAGGGAGGGAAGGAUGUAUGGCCGGCGAAGAGAGGGUGAGGGAGAGAAGAGAUAGAGAUGAGGGGAGACAAGGGCCAUAUGGCCAAGUUUUUCCAACAAAUUGUCCCCCAAAACUUGUCUAAGAAGCUAACAUCCAAGGGUUGUCAUCCACUAGCCAUUUCCAGCUCAUUUUCCCUUCUAGAAGACCCUUGAAUUGGUCCAAAUGUUGUGGGUUGAGGGGUGUUACGAAUUUGGUAUAAAUCUCUCUCCAUUGGACACCAUUCCUCUUUUGAUUCAAUCUCAUUUGAUCUUUAUAAAUUCAAUUGAUGCAUCAUUGAUCAUCUUAGCAUUUUUUUUCUCACCCAUAUAUUCAUCAUGCUUCUCAAAUUUGUGACCAACAAUAAUCCUCGGUCUUGAUUGAACAAAAACGGUCAUAAACUGAUUUUUUCCCAAAAAGUCUUGAUUGUUAGAAAAUCUUCUGAGACUAAGUCGUGGGUCAUAGAAUUUAUUGUGACAUGACAUAAUCUUCAAUUUCUGAAAUCGGACUCAAGUUGGCGGUUAAUUUCCAAUCAACGCGUUUUUAGCGUGACCUAGGCUACUGGGUAGUUUUCAGAACUUUUUAGGGCAAAUGAUUUAUGGUCGAUUUUCUUCGAGUCACAAUGAAUCCACUUAACACGUUGGCAACUCUCGGUUGUUGUGAAAAUCUAGAGGAUUCAAUUACGGGCACAGGGUACCAAAACAAUAAGAAAAUCUAGUGCCGGUCGACGCGAAUUUUCCAAUUUAGUGGAGUUACCCACAAUCGGCCAUACAUCUUAGUCAAACCGACUUAUCUCUGAUCUCAAAUCAGUUUUAUACUGUGCUGUAACGGCCUUUAAAGAUGAGCACGAUCGAGAAACCGAUUCUUGGUCGAAUUCUCAAGUCUGUUACUUUAAGAUUCCUUGAUAGCUUACCCAGCUAGUCUAGUUAUUUCAAGAGUGAUCAACUCUGAGAACAACCCUAUAGGCGCGUCGAUGAAAUGCCCAACUUAUCCAAUCGAAAUCAGAACCUAAAAAUCAGGAUGUCACACACCUUUAGUGCCUUAUACUAGUGCCUAGUGCAAUAAAGAACUAAGUACCACAUAAUAGCAAGACUUCGCAUGAGUUAGCUAUAGUGCUUUAUAUAAUUGUUAUUUGUGGUCAAGAAUUAAGUACCGCACAAUUACCAUGCUUCGUGUAGGGUCACCUCUACAAUCUUGAGUUUGAUUUUGAGUAGGAAUAAUGAAUUGGAAUGUUGAGAGUAAAUAUCGGGUGUAGAUGGAACUACCAAUAUGAUUUACCCGCGUCUAAUUAUGGGACGAAAUUGUGUGACACAGAAUGAGACGUGUCAUAACGAUUUGGCCUUAUAAUCGGGACUCUUGUGGAUUGUUUGAUUGAAUGAUGGAUUAAUGGUGUUGAUUCAAUUGAUUGACUAAGAUUGAAUGAGACGUUCCAAAUGCUCAGGUGUUGUUACUGCACUUAUGUGACAUAUGAAUUGUGCUAACAUGCAGGAGGAAACUGAGGUGAGAUAAGUCAUCUGUUCUAAUUGUUUGGUUAUGUGGUUAUAACGUUUCUAGACGUAUUACUCUCCUAAUAAGGGCUUAGAGCGUGAACUCAUCGAGAUUUAUAUCUCACAUCAUUGUGGGCUUUAACUUUUUAGGACCGUAAAGUGGAGGAUCUAGAGUCAAGCUGAAGGGAUCUGAGGUGUAGGUCAGAUAAGAUAGCUCCUUUUGAGAACUAGUCUUUUGAAGUCUUAUGUUUAUAGACUUGUACAUGAUUCAUUCGAUUUAUAAAAGCAUGUGUUGUUUGUGAAUAUGUUGUCUUGCUUUUCUAUCCCGAGAUGGUUACUGCCAGGGGAUUUGUUAUUCGCUUCCGCAUGUGCAAGAAAAUAAAAGGGUUGGCAACUCGUCCUGGGAAGUUGCAAAUUUUUAUCGACCACCGAGGAAUGAGCAUGCGCUUGAGGAUCGGGGAGUGACAAGAAGGGCCAUAACCAUGAACAACGAAAUCUGGGAUUGAAUUCUCGAUGCUUUCUUGCUUUUGUCAUCAUCAGAGGAGCCGUGUCUUUUGAAAAAAAAAUGCUUAAGCGAUUAAAAAGGGGCCAACCAUGAGUAACAUAUGAUUUUGAUUAUUUCUAGGAUCAUUGAAGUUGAACAAAAACAUUCUGUAUAACACCUAUAUCACGUGACAUGACGAUGGGAUGGCGCUCAACCAAAUCAAUUAUUUUCGAUUAUUAAAAUGAUCUUCAAAUGUGAAUGCGCAAUGGCAAAAAGGAACAGAAUUGAUAGACAAAUAUGAGGAAGGGUAAGAGAAGGCGAAGUAGUUGAACAUGUUACGCAGCGUCGAGAAAGAGCUCGAAGCCCAUAACCAGAACGCUCGCUCAGUCUUACACCUCGUUCCGGAAAUCUCAUGAACGCGCGAGAAGACCUCUUCUCCCCAUAAAUACCCAGCACGUCCCUUUCCUUCAGACAAGGAUCCAGAAAGCAAGCAAAUUCCCAAGAAACUCCAAACCCGAGCAGAAAUCAAUCCCUCGCGUCCUGCAAAGUCAAGCUUCAUUCUACCGACUUAUUCAGAGACGAAGUCGCUCAUAGUUUAACUUCGGGAUUUGUUGCCAGAGGGAAUCUUUGCUUUACUUCUUGAUUUUGUUCGCUUGUCUUUUGUUUGGCUUCACUUCAGGAAUUAUUAGGUAUUUUCCUAGCCGGCAGUGUAUAUUUUAUCCACUAGUUCACGAGGACCAGCCAGGGAAGAGGAUUGACGUGAUAUUCCCUUCAAUUACUCAUCCAAAUAAAUUAUCUGAAUCAAGAUGCUGUGAACCAGGACAGCUGCCAAGAAGCACAAGUCGCAGAGAGAGAAAGAGAGAGAGAGAGAGAGAGAGAGAGAGAGAGAGAGAGAGAUUCUCUAAAUAUUCAUUAAAUGCCGUGUCAAACUUGACCACAGGGAGAGAGAGCGAGCUUCUUUAAAUAUUCAGCAAAUGCCGGAUCAAACUUGACCACAGCUUACAACAUGCUUCCAUCCCUAGCUUGCGCAAAUUGAACGUUAGGAGUGACUUGCCUGCUUGUCCUUCAUUGCUGGGUCUUCGCGUCCUCUGUCCCAUUACUUCUCAUCUGAUUAGACUUUCAAAGAGAGUAAAACCAGCCUGGAUCAGCAAAAGCCCGUCUUCAAGGGCAUAACUUCGCUAAGCAUCUGAAUUUCUUCGAUUGAAUAAAGGAUAGAGAGGAUGGAAAGUGAAGGGCGAAAUGGCAAGAAAUUGAUCCUGGUCCCAGGACCAUUCCAGGGCCACCUCACUCCCAUGCUUCAGCUGGCGACAAUCCUCAAGUCCAAGGGCUUCUCCAUCACAAUUGCUCAACACACAUUUCAACAGUCCAGAUUCUUCUGCUCACCCCAAUUUCACCUUCUUAUGCAUACCUGACGGCUUGUCUGAAGAAGAGGUUCGAAACCCCGAUCUGAUGGGCAUUGUGCUGAGGCUUAAUGUCAAUUGUGAGUCCAGCUUUAGGGAGUGCCUAACUCGGGGCACAAACCAUAUGGAGCCAGUUGACAAGAUUUGCUGCAUCAUCUACGAUGCAUUCGUGUACUUCUCGGAAGCUGUUGUCCGUGAUUUGAAGAUUCCUAGCAUUGCUUUACACACGAGCAGUGCUGCUACUACCAUAGUCCGCCCGAUUCUUCUCCAGUUAAAGGCACAAGGACACAUUCCGAUCCCAGGUACAUGCUGAAUUUCUCUUAUUUAAGUUACACUCAUUUCUUUCUUAAUUAAUAUUAUGGUCACGGAGAAUCUUGCUCGUAUUCCAUUUUGUUUGUGAGGAUGGAUGUAUCAACGAAAAUUUAUUAUAGUCCAUGAUCCGACGAGUCUCCUCUAUGGCUAUACUUUUUUCAAGACUGGUUUCUUUGUCAUCAUCCAAGUUUGACACCCAAGCCAGAUUAUCCCGAGUGUUGUCAAACCACGAAGUAUAAAGUCGAUGGGUUCUAGCUCACUUGUCGUUGUGCUGACUAACAAAUGCCUUGUGUUGUGCUCUAUUAGAUUCCAUGUUGCAGGCUCUGGUGCCCCUGCAUCGACCCCUGAGGUUCAAAGACCUACCACUCUCCAAUUUUGGAAGUUUGGACUAUUUCUUGGAGUUGGUAGUCUUGGUGAGUAAUAUCAGAUCCUCUUCGGCCAUUAUAUUCAACAUGAUUCACUGUCUGGAAGAGUCACCUCUGGCGCAGCUCCACCAACAGUUCCAAGUUCCGAUUUUUGCAAUAGGCCCUCUGCACAAACUCGCUCCUACCUCAGCUGUUAGCUUACUGCAAGAGGAUACUGGUUGCAUUUCAUGGCUUGACAAGCAAACUCAUAAUUCAGUUAUUUAUGUGAGUUUAGGAAGCAUAGCACAUCUGGACCAAGACCAAUUGUCAGAAAUGGCUUGGGGUCUGGCAAAUAGCAAGCAGCCUUUCUUGUGGGUUAUUAGGCCUGGCUCAAUACCAGGUUCGGAAUGGAUCGAGUCAAUGGAUGAAGAAUUCAAAGAAUGUGUUAAGGACAGGGCUUGCAUUGUGAAAUGGGCACCUCAGAAGAAAGUAUUGGCUCAUGACGCGGUGGGAGGGUUUUGGAGCCACUGUGGAUGGAACUCCACCUUGGAGAGUAUAGGUGAAGGCGUUCCAAUCAUAUGUCAACCAUGCUUCGGCGACCAAAAUGUGAAUGCGAGGUACUUGACUCAUGAAUGGAAGGUUGGAUUAGAACUGGAGGGUGAGAUAGAGAGAGGGACGGUGGAAAGAGCUGUUAGAACAUUGAUGAAGGAAAAGGAAGGUGAAGAGAUGAGGCAGAGGGUCUUGGAUUUGAAGCACAAGGUUGAAGUUAGUAUAGGUGAUGGUGGAUAUUCUUCCCAUUAUCUGAGCGAGCUGGUCGAGUUGCUGACAUCGUUCUAGCAGCACAGAGUUGUUUGUGACUUAAGGACUGCACAGUAUGAAGUUUGUGUACUGCAGAAAGUGCAGAUUUGGUCUUCUGGCGUUGAAACAGGACAGAACAGCUAUGCUUCGGAUGGAACGAUGAAAUCUGUUGGCUUAUCAUAUGCAAAUUUGUGUUAGAGCAAUCUUUGUUUUGUUCCUAACCAGCCGAGCUGAUCUGAAUGGCUCGAAUUCACUACUCCUUUCACUUGUUCAAGAUUAAUUAAGGCUGGUAGUUUAUGUUUGUCUUAUCAUAAUUGUAUCACGUAAAACUUAAUUUAACUCGAAUAUGACACGUUUAUUCAGUAUAAGACAAUUUUGAAUUCUAAACGAGAUACGCUUAUUAAAUGCAUUGUACAGCAUGAUACAUGUGCUACUUUUUAAGCUGUGGACCAUUAGAACAAACGCGUCAAAUAUGUUUGGACAUUAUCUAAAUGUGUCUAAGUAUAUAUAUUCAUACGAGAACAAAGACCGACUGAAGUUUUUACCGUUUCGGACAAUUUGUAAAAAUAUUUUAAUUUUUUCCGUUUUUUCUAUUCUUUUCUUCUUUUUUUCCCUUCUCCUUUUUUUUUUCCAACCGUGGCCAAUGAGGGUGGCUGGGCCCUUGCUAACCGCGGGUGAGGCAGUCUUCCCCAUAUUUGAGCGAGGCUGCUUCACCUGCGACCAUCGUCCGAAAGGCCGUUGCGGUCUUUGGUGAGGCUGCCUUUGCCCUCGGGCGCGAUGGGCUCACCUAGAUCUAGGGGAGGGGCAUGCGACCCUCGCCGGUGGCCACCAGGUGGCUGUCGUCUUGAUGAAGUUUCCUCCGCUCCAAGUAAAGAAUGAUUGGGGUCGUUCCUAGGAUCCAGACUUUCCUCUGGCUCAUUAAUCAUAAUAACCUCCUUACAGAGUAUGCUUUUGUUUAACAGGGCAUCACGCAAAAUGCGAAUUGCAGAUGUUUGUGGUUUUCGUAAAGAGGAUGGCCUCCAUGAUCUUCGCGACUUUUUCCUCCACUCAGGACGUCUGGAAAAGUGUCGGUAUUCCUAAUUCAUGUAUGAAGAGCUUCACAGAGCCUCUUCGCACACGGAUCAAGUUUUAUUGUGGUGCAGAAGAAGAUUUCUAGCAUCGUCGAACUUUAUCUCCCCUGGAACUUUUUGCAUAUAAAUUAAAAAUAUACAGAUGGCUCGGAUUUGGAAAACCUGGAUUAGACGGGUGCAGGAGGCAUUUUGCGUAGCCUGUCAAUUUUCACAAAUUAUUGGCUCCACCUCGUCUGUCCUUGCCGAGUUGUCGGCUCUCACUGAUAUGGAUUACAACUUGCUGUGGAUCGUGGAACUCGAAGAUUGAUUGUUGAACUCGACCCCGUGGCUUCACUCCAUUUAAAGGAUAAGAAUUCAUUCAAUGAAGAAAAAGGAAGGUGAAGAGAUGAGGCAGAGGGUCUUGGAUUUGAAGCACAAGUGCGAUGUUAGUAUAGUUGAUGGUGGAUCUUCUUGCCAUUAUCUGAGCGAGCUAGUCGAGUUGUUGAGAUCGUUCUAGCAGCACAGAGUUGUUUGCUACUAAAGCACCGCGCGGAAUGAAGCUUGUGUAGUGCAGAAAGUGCAAAGAUUUGGUCUUCAGGCAUUGAAGAACAGAACAGAACAGAACAGUGAUGUUUUGAUGGCUAACAGAGAUUGGCUGACUUGUCAUAUGCAAAUUUAAGUUGAACCAAAUUUUUACUUCUCCUUUCAAGUUUGAGUAAACUUAACAUGGUUAUUCAUUAUGUCACAAUUUUGAAACCUAAAUACGACAAGCUUAUAAUAUGACAGGACACAUUUGACCUAUUUAAGAUAUAGACCACUAGAACAAACAUGUCAAAUACGUAUAGACAUGUAAAAAAGUGUUCAAAUGUGCAUAAAUUUUCUUUAGUGCAUUGUGUCGUUGCGACUAACUUGUCAACUGGGUCGUCAAACUUGUCUAAACAUUUCAUAGAAAGGAUCAUUCCAUUACAAUUCCUAUCGAGUCCACUGUUUGAGAAUACCCUCAUGGUGGUUUAGUCAGUUAAGAAAUAAAUAAAUAAAAAAAUCAAUUGCUAGAGGAAGAUAGAAGGAAGGACCCGGUAAUCUUAGACUUUAUUUAAAUUGAUCCCACACCUAGCCUCAAGGUAGAUAAGAGACCAGGCAAAAAAGGCAAAUAUAAUAGCAGUCGUGCGCAAGCAAGUUGUUUCUUUUAUGACACGAAUCUCUAUAAACUUGACAUGAGAACAUUCAAUGACAUGUCGAGUAAAUGGGCUGUGUCGAUAUCUUCUCAACAUCAUUCGAGAUUGAUCAACAUGCUCUACUAUUGUGUGCGAUGAAUGUUCUUCCAGCCUAGUAAAAAUAUCCCAUAUUAACAACCUUAAUCUCUUGUCUGUGAAAGCUAGUACAAACAUCUAGAGGGGGUGAAUAGGUGCAAAAACAAAUUUCCCUGAGAGAAGUGUGCAACUCUAAUCAACAAUAGAUUAUGAAAAGGAAAUUAGACUCUUGUAAACAAAUUGAGUUACGAUCAAAGUAAAAGAGUGUAGGGAAGAGAAUAAGAACACAUGGUUUAUAGUGGUUUAGCUUAAUCCAAGCCUACAUCCACUCUUCCGCACUGACAGCCCACUGGCUGGAUUUUACUAUGAAUUAAAAGAAUUGUUACAGUAAAGCUCUUCAUUGAUUCCACAUUGUAGAAACUCUACUACACUUCCUCAAUGUCUCACAAAGAUAUAAACUCUCUUUUGAGUACAAGAUUUCGUUCAACAAUUGAAUUGACUAAGAACAAGGAGCUUCAGACUUUGGAAUUCUUCUAUCGCGCACACACUCGAACAACUGGAACGUCUUCCUUAUAUACUCCUUCAUGCCAUCACACCCGUUGGCACUUACCAAAUGAGUUCUUCCAAUUUACCUGUUGGACAUAAUUAAUUAUUGAGAUUUCGAGUUAUUUAAGGAAUAUGACGAUAGCUCCAAUCCUGCUUGCCCAUACAAUCAGGAUUUAGGUUUUCAUAAGUAGAACAUUCCAAGUAUAUUUUGCCAAUCAACGGAUCCAAAAUCCCUAAAUCAAUCUCAAUUUGAAUAAUGGAUUCUGACAUGCUAUAUCCAUCCAAGAGAUCUUCUUCAGUCGAUAGAAUCAAAUCCUCAACGAAAUACCCAGUUCUGGAUAAGCCUUCUUCGACGGUCUAAAAACUGUUAAUGAGGAUAGACUUUGAGUCUUGAGUCUGGCAGUCCGGAGGUCUUCAGACUUUGAUGAAAGAGUCUGCAAGUCUUCAGACUAGAUUGAUAGAAACAUUUUGUCAACUUCAAAACACUCAAGGAAGUUUUCUCCAACAUUGUCGAUUGGCACCUCUUUUUUAUCUGUUGCACUUUAAUUCAAUGUGAAAAAUGGAGAGUGCAUCGUGCUCGAGAGGGACCAUAAAUUUACUUCUCUUUUCUUUAAAUUUAUGAAAAGAAUAGCUUGGGAACGAGGAUAGAUCGAUGGUUUUCCCGUUUUGACAAGUUGGUGCCAAUGAUCGGAUUCUUACUAUCUUGAUUUUACUGUAUGUAAUUUUUCUGUGAGACAAUUUUGAUGGUUGUUUGUUUGUGAAACAAACAAAAUAAUUUUUUUUCCUUAUCUUACAUAGGAAAGUUGGAAGGAUGUGGGCCACUGUAUAAAUAUGAGUGUCUUCUAACUUAUUCUAAUGAAGACAAUGGCUUGUGGGCUAGAUCCCAUAAUACCCAACGAUGGCCCAUGUGUCCAAUGACACAAGCGGUGCCAUAUGCAUAGGGUAUCUGAAGGCCUUUAAUCAACAUUACCAAACCAUCUUGGACGGCCAUCUCUCAUCUCAGAAUGCCUUCUAGAAGUUAUCCUACGGUGGUGAAUUUAUUGUUGAGAUCUAGCGCCCGCGCUGCUUUAUGUUUGCAAGCCAUAUACUAGGCAAAAUUUAUAGACUAUAUGAGUUUAGCUUCUGUUGCAUAGUCUGUCAGAGUUUGAGGAAUAGGCCAAAAGGUGAGAACAACUUAUAAUUUCUAUAUAUUCAGUCUUAUGUUUUACAUUGUACAAGCUCCUAUUUAUAAUACAAUGAAUGUCUAGCUAUGGAAAGAAUAAAUGAAAAUACAUUAAAUCAAAUCCAAUCUUGGAUUGAUAUAAUCUAUCGGUUAUAAUUGCCCGCAAUCUUGGAUUUUUAUUUGAAAGUGUCACGUCUCGAUCCUCCGGGCUCAUGCCCAUCCCUGCUUGGUCGAUAUAAUAGCGAUGUCUCAGGACGCAUUGUCGACCCAUUUAUUUUAAUAUACGCAUGCAGAAGCAGAUAUAAAACCCCAGACAAUAAAACAAUAGGAUAAGAAAGUAGGGCAAACUUUUUCAAACUAAAACAAGCAUUUUUAUAAACGAACGAGUUUAUAUACAAUGCUAGGCUGUUUACAAAUAUAUCGGCUUAACAAAAGGGAAUUGUCCUAUGACUCUCUGAUCAGACAUGUUCGCCGAUUCUUCGGUCUCCACCUUCCCAGAUUUCGGGGCUUCCAGUCCUCCUCUCACUUCCUCUAAGGACUUGAAAAUGGUUAUAUAAUAAUCAGUGAGACAAUGUCUCAGCAAGUUCAAUCCCCUAAGACAUGAUUAGGAAGAAAAUUACGCCCUAAGGGCUGCCUAAGCACACACAGGUGUCAGAGGACUUACCUUGGCCUCAAUUCCUCCCUGUAAGUCAGUUCGAAUAAUAAAUACUGAUAAUUAUAUCACUCAAUCAAAUCGGAUCGAAUAAUCAAUCAAUCAAUCGACCCAGUCGAUUACAUGUCAUUAGGACCAUCUCUUGGUUGGCCCAUUCAAUACUAUCUAUGAAUCUAAUCAAAUCCAGGACUCCUCAUUGUAACUGAAAUAUAGUAGUAUAUUAUCCUAUCUCCAUAUGACAUAUAGAGCCAUCGAGCGGAUAUGCAUAACGUUCUAUCUCCAAGAUGACAUAUAUAGUCAUUGAGUCAUCAUAACAUACUUGUGCAUAACGUUCUAUCUCUAAGACGACAUAUGGAGUCAUCAAGCCGUUAUAACACACCGUUCUUUCUCACGAUGACAUAUAAAGUCAUCGAACUAUUAUAUCAUAUCGUCAUUUCUCCAAGAUGACAUAUAGAGUCACCGAGCCGGUACACAAUUCCUUCUCAAGAUGACAGGAGAGUCAUCGAGCUAUAAUAGUAUAACGUCCAUUCUCCAAGAUGACAUACGAAUCAUCGAGCCGUUAUAGUAUAUUGUUCCGAAGAUACAAUCAAUUUACUCUUUUUAUCAUACUCGAUAAAAAUACACGUGUAUGGGUACACGACCGGCCUUAACCAAAAUACAAGGUUUUCUUCUGAACCUCCCACUAUUUUUCGUAGUCCCAAAAUAAAUUUUUGGCACUGUAGACCGAUAUCUGGUAAUUUUCCACUUAAUUACCACAAUUAUCCAAUUUUUUGAAAGUAAUACCCACAAACACUAAUCACAAUCAAUUUGCAUAAUUAGCUACUCAAUUAGAUAAACAGAGAGCACCACUACGAUCAUCACGAAAUUCCGGUAACCGACUAUCCCGGGUUAAUUUCCAAAAAAAAAAAAAAUAAUAAAUAAAUAAUUAUGGAAAAUAUUAAAUAAAUACAAUAAAUGCAUACUUAGGCCCGCAAUGCCUAAUUAUAUGCCAGAAUGGGCUCGGAAAAUUUUCGAGACUCGUUAAAUAAAUACUAGAGUCUAUUUACUCGCUAAUUGCACUAACUAACCACCUAAUAUGCAAUGGUAAUUAAUUAAAUUCAUUAAUCUAAUCUAAUCUAAUCUAAUCUAACCACAUAAUCCAUCUUAGCCUAAACUAAUUAACCCAUAAGUACAAUUAACCUACUAAGCAAGAAUUAGUGAGUUAAACUCACUUGAUUCGCGAGCCGAUCGGUUCAAAUCGAUGGGGACGCAAUAGGGCUCGAUUUUCUCCAAAGUGGGCAUAGCUUUCGGGACUCGGAACACCUCCAAAAUGGGCCAACACAGUGUUGGAAACCCAUUGGUUUUGCUUUCUGUUUUGGGCUGCAAAAGAGAGAAAUAGAGGUGGAAAGGGGCAGUAAGGACCGGCAAAGGCAGCAAGGGUCGGUCGCGGGUCAGGGCGGACCUCAGCGGCCUCCGGCGACAGCUCACGGUGGCCCAGGCAUCCACAGUAGCCUGCUGGAGGCAUAGAUGGGGGCAGAGAUGUGGCUGCAGCGGCGAGCAUGCACGGGCGAGUGCGAGGUAGCGACGGUGCGCGAACAGCGAACGGUGGUGUGCAAGCGGGUCGGGGCUUCGAACAGCUCCUCCACUGGCUUCUACUGGUCUUCUUCAGCUGUUGGACACCGAAUAGCAAUGAGAGAGAGGGAGGAAGGAGUGUCGGCAUCUUUGAGGGAGAGAAAUGGGGCAAGAGGGGGCCUACCAAGCCUUAUUUUCUCUCUACAUGUUCCCUUGACUCAAUCACAGCGAAGGCUGGCUUCCUUGGCCUCUAUUCAGCCACCAAGGCACACUUGACAACCUUAGAGAUGGUCCAAAAUGGCUAGGCAAGGGGGAGCUACGAAUUUCCUUUAGUUCCUCUUCAAUUGGUCUUCUUUUCCUUCUUAAAUCAAGACAAUUUGGCCUCAAUAAAUUCAAUCAACACCUCAAUGAUCAAAUUGGUAUUUUUCCUCACCAAUUGAUCCCACUUGCUUUCCAAUUUUGCAAUAAAAAAAGAUCACCGAUAUUUUCUGAACAAAAACGGCCCUAGGAUGACUUUUUCCCAAAAAGUCUCGGUUUGCAGAAAAUUCUUUUGAGACUGAGUCGAUGUUCUUAGAAUUAAUUGUGACAUGAUAGAACUUUCAAUUUCUGAAAUCAGAUUCAAAUCCGCAGUUAAUUUCAAUCUGGCAUUUUUUAGCGUGACUUAAGCUAUCGAGUAACUUUUAGAAAUUUUUAGUGCAAAUGACCCGUUGUCGAUUUUCUUUGAGCCACAAUGAAUCUCUUUGACACAUUGGCGACCCUCAUUGUCGUGAAAAUUUUAAGAUUUCAAAUACGGACACAAGGUACCAAAACGAUAGAAAAAAUCAAACUAGUGUCGAUCAAUGAUAAUUUUGCAAUUUAGUGGGAUCACUCAUAUUUAACCACUCAUCUCAGUCGAACUGACCUAUCUCUGAUCUCUAAUCGAUUUACAUUUGUGCUGUAAUGAUCUUGGCAGAUGAACAUAGUCGAGCAACCGAUUAUUGGUCGAAUCCUUAAGUCUAUUUGCCUUAAAAUCCCUAAUAGCUUUCAUAGGUAGUCUAGUUAUCUCACGAGUGAUCAACUCUGAGAAUAGCAUUAUAGGCGCGUCGAUAAAAUGCCCGAUUAUUUAAUUGAAAGCAGAAUUGAAAAUCUAGGAUGUCACAGAAAGUGCUAGUACAAACACUUAGAGGGGGUAAAUAUGUGUUUAAAAUAAACCUUGUUAAAUAAUUGCAGAAUAAAAUAAGUUAUGAGCAAAGUUUGAAUAAGAACCGGAGUCUGAUAAACGAGCCACCAGACUUUUGGUAGACGUUCAAAAUCUGUUAUGUGAUGGAACAAACUUUUGAAAUAACCUGUAAGUAUGCAACAAACUUAAAUAAAAAGAGUUAAGGAAAGAGAAUGUUGCACACGAAAUUUAUAGUGGUUCGGCUUAGAUCAAGUCUACGUCUACUCUUCCACGCUAACAGCCUUCUGGCUGGAUUCCAUUAUGCGAUCAACAAGAGAUUACAAUUUUGAGUGCAAACAUUUAGUGAUAGAUCACACUAUCAUAUUAAAUCACUCUUUUGGUAUUUCUCUCACGAUUACAAACGUUUAAGCUCACAAGAGACAAGUGUAUAAUCGAAGUUCGUUUAAACUUUGGAAUUAUAAAUUCUAUGCUCCGUCUCUCACUUACUCAUUGGUCCUUGAUCUUCUUAUAUACUCCUCCACUUCUAAACUAGCCAUUGGAUAGUAUUUAGAGAAUCGUCUUCCAAUCUACUCAUUAGACAGAUCUAUAUCAAGAAGAUUUAAUAGCUGUUGAGUGACAGAAGUAGAAUCCAAAAUUGAUUUUAAUCGCUCAUACAAAUAGAAUAUUGGUUUCCAUAAGUAGAGUUUCUUCGUAUAGAAAGUUCUUGUUUUCAAGAUCCAAUUGUCAAUCAAUUAGAUUGAGUCAAUCAAAUCUAUCUUGAUGUAGAAUCCAAACCAGAUCACUAGUCGUUAUAUAUUUGGGGCUUGUAUUACGUUUUGUCAAGUUGUUUCAUUUUGAACAUGCUUCAUUUUGAAUCUGCUAUGUUCUGAACUUGAGUCUCGUUUUGGACCUUGUCAUGUUUUGGACUUAUGUCUCAUUCUGGAUGAUGUAGACUUUACAAUCUAGAUGUAAGUUUGAAUAUAUUCUGCUUUUGAACAUAUUUAGCCUUAAGGUUUGAACACGGUCUGAAUAAGUUCAACUUCAACAUAGAGUCUAUUUUCUAGUUCUUCCAAGUAUAGAUUUCAACAAUAUCCUUUACAUAUUCCAAGCCCUGGACAUCUCUUUAAAUAUUUUACAACCGUCAAGGCUGCAUUCAUAUGAGACUCCUUCAGAUUAUGCAUAAAUUGACUGAGUAAUUGCACUGCAUAACAUAUAUCUAGCCUGGUCAUGGUGAGAUAUAUAAGCUUCCCUACAAGCCUUUGAUAACGAGAUGGGUCUUUGAGUAAUGGGUUAUCAGUCUCAGAGGAUGAUUUAGCAUCAUAAUCAAUGGUAGUUAACUUGAUGUUUUGAUUAAUAGGAAUGGCAGUCGAUUAACAUCUUGAUAAGCCUAUUUCAGAUAUGAUUUCUAAAACAAAUUUCCGUUGGCUUAGAGAGAUUCCCAAGUCUGAGUGGGCAAUCUCAAUAUUGAGGAAAUACUUGGGAGGUCCCAAGUCCUUAAUGCAAAAAGUAUAAUGUAGGUAUUCUUUGAGACUCUUGAUAGCCAAUCCAUUGUUUCCCAUAAUAAGUAUAUUAUUAAUGUAUAUAAUCAGGUAGAUUGAUGACGAUCCAAGUGAAGAGAGCAUUGUUGUGCUUGGAUUGCUUGAAACCAAUGGUUGUAAGAGCUGUAAUGAACUUUGCAUACCAUUGUUGAGAAGCUUGCUUGAGCCCAUAAAAGGACUUAUGGAGCAACAAACUCUAGGCUCUCCCUAUCGUGGUAAUCUUGAUGGAAGGUCCAUAUAUAUUUUCUUAUCAAGAUCACCAUGAAGGAAGGCAUUGGGAACAUCCAUUUGAUGUAAGUCCCAAUCUCAGAAAGCAGCAACAAAAAGAAAGGAGCGAACGGUAACGUCCUCUGUGACUGGAGAGAAUGUCUCAUGAUAAUCAAAACCUCACAUUGUGUAAAGCCUUUGGCCAUUGAGUGGGCCUUAUACCAUUCAACAGAUCCAUUGGCCUUGUAUUUGAUCUAAUAUACCAAUUUGCAGCCAUUGGGUUUUCGAUGAGCACUUGAUGGGACUACAUUCCAUGUAUGACUUUUUUUUAUUAAGGCAUGCAACUCUGCUUCCAUGGCCUUUUGCCACUGUGGAUCACAAAUUGUUUCAUCAUAGGAUGAUGGCUCUAUCUCCUCGGAAAUACGACUAAUGUUGUACAUAUGGUCCAUAGACAAGCAAUCGAACAAAACAUAAGAGGAAAUAGGAUAUGAGGUACCUCUUGAGUUGAGCGGUGCAUAGAUAUAGUCCUUCGUCCACAUAUGAGGGUGAGUGAUCCGUCCUGAACGUCAUGGGGGAAUAUGAUCAGGUGUAGGAGAUGAUAAUUUUGAAGUGGAUUGUAAAGAUAAUUGGUUUGAAUCAGAACUUGCUUCGAUGUGCAUUGUUGAUUUUGCAACUGAAUGAUCUGGAGUAGAUGGGGAAUUCGCAGCGGUCUUGACCACUAGAGAAGAAGUCGGAGCAUCUAGAGGCGGGACAUGUACAUAGUGGGAAAUAGGAGAUGAAUCUUCUUCGAAUAGAAAAUGCCCAUUUUGAUGAUUCGAGCUAGAAGACUCAUUUGAAGAUGCUUCAUCCUGAAAAGGAAAAAUGUCUUCAUGGAAAAUGACAUCCCUGCUAAUAAAGAAGUUCCCUGUCGAUGGCUCAAAAACACGAUAUCCUUUCUAAAGAGUUGGAUUAUCCCAUGAAGAUGCAUCGUUUGGCUCGAGCACCCAUCUUGUCACAAGGACCCAUCUUGUCAUGAGGACUCAGGGUAGUAACAUAGUAUAGGUAGCCAAAAACCUUUAAGUGAUUAACCUCUGGCUUCAAAAGGAGUAUGUUCGUCGAGAACCUGAGUCGGCAUGCAAUUGAUCAAGUAAGUUGUUGUGAACACACAAUUUCCCUAGAAAGUCUCAAGAAUGGACGCUUGGAAUUUGAUGGCACGUGCAAGUUCCAAAAGAUAACGAUGCUUAUGCUCAACAAUCCCAUUUUGUUGAGGGAUGUAAGUGCACGUGUUUUCAUGCAUAAUUCCAUGAAAGGAAAAAAGUAAUUGACAGUCAUGACUAAAAAAUUCUUUUCCAUUAUCUGUUUGAAUAUGUUGAACAUAUUUCUCAAAUUGAUUUUUUGACAUGGUUAAAGGAUUCUUUAGAUGGAAGAGAGCUUGAUUCUUUGACUACAUAAGGAAAACCCAUGUUGCACGAGAAUGAUCACCUACAAUGGUGAGGAAGAAUUGAUACCAUCUCGAUGUGGGGUGUGAUAGGGAUCCCAAACGUCCUUAUGGGAAAAUGGGCGAGCGAUUCUUUAGCAAGAGGGUAAAUUUUGCAUUGAGGAUGUGGAAAGGAAACACUAUGGCCCAAAUGUUGAUGGGAAAUGAUAACUUUAUCAUUGGAAUAAUAUUACACAAUGAUCUUUUAUUCAUGGAAAAUUGUGAUAAAUCAAAAUUUUUGGGAAAACUAGUCCAAAAAGACAAUCCUUGCAAAAUACUACUAAAGCUCAUUAGUUUCCCAGUCGAAAGAGCUUGAAAGAGACGAGUAUUAGAAUUAAAGAGAAUACAACAAGAAUUAUUCUCACAAGCCUUUGAUAUUGAGAUACGGUUGAACUAAAACUAAGAAACAUAAAUGACAUUUCGAAGGAUAAUCAAAGGAAUUUACCAUCCCUAUCUUUGUGACAUACAUGGGAUUUCCAUUUGGAAGCUUCAUAGGGAAAUGAUUUUUAUGAGUAUGGGAGAAAAGGCUUUCAUCAUAGAUAAUAUGGUCACUAGCAUUUGAAUCAAUAAUCCAUGCAUCAUAAGAAUUAGAGUUGAGGCAACAUGAAGCUUGCCCCUUUAUCAAAAGUUUCCAGUUGUCUCAGUGCCCUCAUGAUUUGUUGAUAUUGAUUUUGUGCAAUCAAUUGAUUGUGCCCAGUGACUUGAUUAGCUGAUGAUUCAUUAUUUCCUUUCUUCCUAGGUUUGCCAUGCAAUUUCAAUAAAGUUUCCACCAUGUGAUGUGGCCACUUGCAAUAAUCACAGUAUAAUGUCCCUUUUCCUUUAUUAUUUCCUUUUAAGGAUGAUGUGGUAUUGCGAGGGUCGUGCGAUGCUUUAAAAAUAGGUGCCAUUGUGGCUUGUUGAGAGCUGAUGGCUUCAGCCAAAUAAAAGCCUUUGGAUAUUUGGAGCCUAUCAUAGACGUUCAUCCCAAAAAGAUUAGGGCUUCUUUCUCCUCCUUUGCUUGUAGCAACAGCUCGACUGCCACCUUCUCCGUGAAGACCGAGAGAUUUAUUGGCCGAUCCAAGGACAGAUGGAAGGCUGCAGGUUGAUGGUUGCCCGGAUCUGUAACUAGUGAGCCCUGGCGAGACAACCUCAGUUGAAGAUAGUUCAGAUUUGAAUGCAGCAAGGGCUAUCCCUUUUCCGGUUCGUGCAUGCUUAGCUACGGUUGCCUUUUGGCUCUCCUCUUGGACCGCUAAUUGGUAGAUUCGCUUGAGCGGUAGUGCCGGCUCCAUCGCAAGGGUUUAGGGCCUGAAUGUGAGUAGCUUUCAUUCAAUAUUAGUAGAAAAUGCAUUGCUUUCUCCCUUUCUAGCAUCGCUCGAUAUUGUCGAAGCGUUUCCUUUGGCCCCUCAAGCUACUCUUCAACGGCCUGGAGUUUGUUCCACAAGGCCGAGAGUCGGUUGAUGCAUGUUGUCACGGAUUGAUUUCCUUGUUUUAGCUCCGAGAUGGCUUGGGUGCGGGAGAAGAUUUUGUCCCAGCCGAGCUUUCCGUACAUCUCACAGAUGUUAUCCCAAAUUGCCUUCGAGUCUUCGAUUGGUGGAAGCUCGACGGCCACCUUGGGAGCCAAGCAAUUACUGAUCCAUGUCCACACGAGCUGGUUACAUCUUUGCCAGUGCUGCUGUGAGCGUCCGUCUAUCAAAAAAGGCACGGUUUCGUUGAGGAACCCAUAUUUAUCUUUGGUGACCAAUGCCCGUCGGAGAUCUGGAGCUGAGGUACUAUAGUUUUCGGGUCCACUAAGUUGUAAGAAGAUGAGUUUUUGUUCAAGGCCGUCCCUCGGCAACGUAUAGAGUGGAUUGCUUGGCUUCGAUCAACCAUCGUUGGCUAGGAUGACAUAUGGCAGGAAUUCAUGUCCUGAGAUUGGGUAGGGAUUUACUCCCUGACCUUGUGAUGUGGGCUUGGGUCCUAAGCCCGUCUGACAUCCUAGAACGUCAUCGAUAUGUGUAUUUUAUAUUACUAAUCUCUUUUAGCAUGUGGAAGCGAAAACAAAUAUUUAUGAAUAUUCUUUUAAUGAUUAAAGCCUUACAAUUAUAACCAACAUACUUAUAUAUAUAUAUAUAUAUUGUGACACCCUGAACCCUUCGUAGGUUGCCACCAGCGUCAAUGUUACACCUUAUUACCUUUCUCCUUUGAAGAAGCGUCGUAAUUCAUCGACACUUUUUUUUUUUUAUAAACAAAACGGUCCCAGCGCGACUCACUAGCGGAAGCAAAUUUAAACAUCACCAUCUCUCCCCCUACCAACCAUGAUACAAAUACACACCACUAAUCACCAUAAUUUUAUAGACAAGCCACGACACUUUAUUUACAUAUAUCUUCAAGAUGUGACUUCUUUUGGGUCGGUACAUCAAAAAGGAAAAGCUAGGACUCAGCUAAAACCUCAAAAAGAACCCUCGACCCUCUACAUCACAUGUGCACAACCCCCAUCAUAAGUGUCGGCUAACUAUCCAAAAAGAAACAGCCCCUACUUGUCACGCACAGGCCUCACACCCAGUCCGGUGUGUCAGGCGGCGGCGGUGGCAGCAUCCCUCUCAUCACCCCAUCGCGGCGAACGUGGACGGAGACAAACUCCUGGACAAUCGGGCCCCCAGCCAGGCCUAUGUCGUACGAGACAAAACAGCGCACACGUAUAUAGGUGAGUCCAGGUACAGAAGGACAACUGAACUCCUCACACUCUACCUCAACGUCGGACGGUAACCCAUAAAAUGCACCACACGUGACGGCAGGAAGCGGCAUACUGCUAAUCUGAAAUGUUGGUCCCCAAAGGGGUGAGUACAACCACUCAACAGAUAAGGAAUUUAAUAACAACUCAUCAUCAUUAUCAUCAUCAUGCAUAUCAUGCCAUGGGUGAUCAUCAUUAUUUCACAUCACAUAUCAUCAUCAUCAUCAUCCUGUCAUCAUUAUAUCAUACAUUUCAUCAUCAUCAUGGCAUCACCACAUCACGCAUGUCAUUAUUGUCAUGGCAUCAUUAUAUCAUACAUGUCAUCAUCAUCAUGACAUCAUCACAUUACACAUGACAUCGUGCCAUAUCAUAUAUCAUCAUCAUUAUCAUCAUCAUGCAUAUCAUGCCAUGGGUGAUCAUCAUUAUUUCACAUCACAUAUCAUCAUCAUCAUCCUCAUCAUCAUGCAUCUCAUCAUGCAUAUCAUGCCAUGGUUUAAUUUCCACUUUUAGCUUUCAAUUUGAUCACCACAUCACCCAUUCCUCGAAUCAUCAAUUUCAUCAUCCCCUCGAGCAAAGACAUCAUCAUGCAUAUCAUCAUGUAUAUCAUAUAUCAUCAUCAUGCAUAUCAUCAUGCAUAUCAUGCCAUGGGUGAUCAUCAUUAUUUCACAUCACAUAUCAUCAUCAUCAUCCUCAUCAUCAUGCAUCUCAUCAUGCAUAUCAUGCCAUGGUUUAAUUUCCACUUUUCUUGGCAUCGCGAGGCAUUCCCUUCGGGCAGAAACCUCCGACAGGGCUUCCGGCACCCCCACGUUCCGGGCAUCCUGAAUCUCCCAAGGCCAUCCGGCAAUGCAUCUCUAUACAUUCCGGGCAUUAUCCUCCACCACAACCACCUCCUCACUUAUCAUUAUCCACAUUUACCAUUAUUUUGAUCUCAAUUUAACAUGGCAUAUGGCGUGACAUCAAACAAGUCAUACUUGGCAUAAGAUUCACACAUGCAUCACAAUUCAAUGUCAUACAUACACCAAUAUCUUAUCAUACAUGCUACAUGGUGUAAUCAUUUAUGAAAUUUAUGGCCAAUAAAAUAAUCCAUUUUAUUUUAUUAUUUUAUUUAAAUAAAUAUUAAAUUCCAUAUCUAUAAAUUCCCAAAAUUAUAAAAAUUCAAGAAAUCAUUAAACAAACCAAUAGGAUGACAAUUUCAUGCAAAAUUCAUGGCCAAAUUGAAUUUUACACAAUCUCACCAUUUUCACAAAACAUCCUAUGAUUCUCGGAUGAAACCAGAACGCAUGGUUUUCGAAGAAAUUCAAUUAAAAUAUCCAUAUGGCCUCCAAAAAUUAUGAAAUUUUACUGAGUUAUAGCCAAGACAUUUUCGUACAACUUUCAUGAGAACUCCAAGCCAGAUUCCUUUUAGAUUAUUUUAUACAGUCUCACGAAGCUUCUGGAUCCAUUACCGCAUCGUCCAGUGCAAGCUUCUCCGAAAUAUUGAGAUUUCACCUACCUAUUCUCUUUAGUUUUCUCUGAAAUGUGGAUAUGUUAUAUAUCAAGAUGUCCUUUACAAGUUUCAUGAAGAGAUAUAGGUCAAAUAACCAUAAUAUAGUCAUCAUUUAGGUCCUUGAAGUCUCGGGUAUCUCGGAAUACAUCACCAGAAUCAUCGUCUUCAAGAUCUAGUUGAUUUACUAGGAUAUUCUUGUUAAUUUCACUUAAAAUUUGAGUAUGUUAUAGUUUAAGAUAUUACAACUUUCAUGAAGAAAUCGAAGUGAUAUUCUCAACACAAACCAACAUGCAAUCACAAAUCCAGCAAGAGGUCAGUAAAAACUCUCCAGAUCUGAGGUCUCCGUAGGAUGAGACUUUAACCCCUCAAAUAUCCAUAAUUUUCCACUAAAUUUCAGUAUGUUGUAUUUCAAGAUGUUAGCUACAACUCUCAUGAAGAAAUUGAAGCCAAAAUCGGACUCUAAACACACAUGCAAGCUCAAACAACUUUCUGACUUACGUGAUCCAAGCAAGAACAGUCACCCCAUCCACACACAACUCAUCCAUGCUUCGGUAUUUCUCAUCUAACACCCAAGAAUUCAACAUGCAAACAACAUACAAGCAUGCAUGAGAAGCUAUAGGACUCCCACUUGCCUCUAGACCGGUCGGUCGACGGCGUAAGGCGGCGAACAUGGCGGCACACGGCGGACGGACGGCGGUUCCUCCUCCUCUCUCUCGGCCGCUUCCCCCUCUCUCUCUCGAAAUCUCUCUCUCUCUCUCUCUCUCUCUCUCUCUCUCUUUGGGCGAGCAAAUGACCGGCCACCCUUCUCUCUCUUCCCCUUUUUAUACCUUCAAAUCCUCAUGAUUAAUAAUGAUUGCUUUGCCUUAACCAUGGCCAAUGCAUGGCCUUUUUUGUGCCACUUGUUACAACACUUGCAUGCAUCAUGGGCCUUGGAGUUGGGCCAUCCAGCCACUCUUGGGCCUCCCCUUGGGCUGGUCGACAGCCCCCUUCCAUGGGCUUCUAUUGGGCCGACUAGCUUGGCCCAUCAAGGCUUCGGCCAAUGGGCCUAAGGCCCAUCCCAAAAAUUAACUUUCCCCCCCCCCCCUUUUUUUGAAUUUCUUCUAUAAAUAUUUUUUUUUAAAUUUCAAUUUUCAUCUUGGCCAAAGUCUUGGGGCAUCUUGUUUAUUGAAAUUUAAUUUAUAAAGUACAUGGCCAAGCAUAAAUUAUUAAUUUAUCAAAUUUAAAUUUUCACAAUCAUAUGCACAAAUCAUCUAAUUAAAAGACUAAUGGCUAAAGCAUAAGCCAUGGAAAUUUUUAUCACCUAAUUAGAGACUUUAACACACCUUAUGGCUUGUCAUUGAAUUUUGGGAUGCCACACACACACACACACACACACACACUUUAACACACCUUAUGGCUUGUCAUUGAAUUUUGGGAUGCCACACACACACACACACACACAUAUAUGUUUUUUUUUUAUAUCAAAGUCAUGGGUCGAUAACUUCUCCAUCUGCUGCAUCUCCAAUAUCCAGAUUGAAGCUACUUAACGGGUCAACUAAUUCUCCAUCAAGAUUUCGAUACUAGGCAAUGAACUGGAAAGGAACUCAUUCCGUGAAACCUUCUACGUCAACCCGUAUUGUAGAACUACACUUGGUAUAUAUUAUUCCAGGCUUUGGUUGGAGCACACUUUCAUAAAAAGCUUCAUUAUAUAUAAGGACUCCAUAAUGCAAUGGUUAAAGGGGUAUCCAUUUUGCAUGUUUAAAAAAUAAGAGGGAUGAUCAGAAGGCUAGUAAAUAAAAUCUCUAGUUUUAAGUUAGAAAUAUUAUCUCACCACUUCACUUGGUGCACACAAAAUGAAUGUGUAAUCAUCCAAUAAGUAUGAUACAAAUAUAAAUAGAUUUUACCUUUCAUUAUCUACCAUAAAAAUUAUCAACCAACAAAACGUCCAUCUAGACUCAUGCAUGUACACACCAUAUUUCACACAAAUGAUUUGGUUCUACGCAUAGUAAUGUAUUUUAUUUAUUAAUGCUUCAUCAUUCCAAAUACUCCCGGGAUAUCCUGCUACACGGGGCAUCCCAACACACGAGGUAUCUCAUCUCCGAUGCAUCCUGCAAUACUCCUUGAGGCAUCUCGGCACACAGGACUUCAUCACUCACCGUUAUAUGAGUGACAAGAUUACAUUAAUCUCAUUCAAGUUAUGAUAUAUGUAGACUCACAAGCAUAGCACACAUAUCCCAACUCAAUUUAAUGUAUUUGUUAAAUAACCGCAUAUGAAAUAACACACAUAUUCUGGUUAUUAAAGUCUGGAUAUUCAAAUGAACACAUUUUGAGUCUAGAUAUCGAGCAGGUUCUAGACAUCAAAAUUUGAUAAAUCAAAUGAGUAUAUUUUAAAUUUGAAUGAAUAAGCACAUUCUAAUCAUAAAGUCGGAAUAACCAAAAGGGUAAUUUUUAGCUUGAUAGAAACUUAUAGAACAAAGGAACAUAUCCAUCAAUGGAUUGAAUCAACAAAUGAACGGAUUUAAUGAGGAGUACAUUCAUAUUCAGUAAAGUCUAUCUGAACUAAUAAACAGACAUUCACGAAUAGAUUCACAAAUUGGCAAAUUCAGCAAGUGAAUAGGACUCACCAAUGAACAAAUUCGAGCAAAUUCACAAAUGGAAAAAAUUCUGUCAUAAGAAAUUCCAGCAGAAAUAAGUGAAACAAACCAAUUAUAACUGGUAGAAUUCUAAUAGAGCUAAACAGAACAAACAUGUAAUUGGUCAUCGAGAUGACUAAGACAAAACGACCAGAUUCUAACUACUUAAAAUGAAACAGAAAAAAGAAGAACAAACUUGCAAUGGGUUAUCAAGCUAAUUAUGGUAGAACGACCAAAUUCUAACUACCCAAAAUGAGAUAGAAAGAAACAUAAUGAACAUGCAAUGGGUCACCAACAUAAAGAUGGUAGAAUGACCAGAUUCUAAUUAUCCAGAAUGAGGCAAAAAGAAGUAGAGCGAACAUGCAAUGAAUUAUCAAAACAAAGAUGAUAGAAUGACCAAAUUUUAACUAUCCAAAAUGAGGCAGAAAGAAGCAGAACGAACAUGCAAUAGGUUAUAAAAAAUAAAUAUGGUAGAAUGGCUAGAUUCUAACUACCCAAAAUGAGACAGAAAAAGACAUAACGAAUAUGCAAUGGAUUACUAAGACAAAUACAACAUAAUAUUCUAGUUACCCAGAAUGAUGCAAAAUAAAGCAGAAUAAACAUGUAAUGGGUCACCAAGACAAAGAUGACAGAAUAACCAGACUCUAACAACCUAGAAUGAGGUAGAAAGAUGCAAAAUAAACAAGUAAUGAGUUACGAAGAUAAAGAUAAUAAAAUAAUCAUAUUCUAACUACCCAGAAUGAGGUAGAAAAAAACGGAACAAAUAUACAAUAGAUUAUCAAGAUAAGUAUAACAGAAUAAUCAGAUUUUAACUACCCAGAAGGAGGCAUAAAGAAACAGACCAAAUAUGCAAUAGGUUUUCAAGGCAAAUACAAUAGAAUGACCAUAUUUUGGGUACCCAAAACCACAUAGAAUGAACCAGAAUGAAACAGAACAAACUCACAACAAAUUAUCAAAGUCACUUAACAACCACCAUACCCACAUCAAAACUUCACCUCUCAUCCAACCAACCAAGAUAAAAGUAACUAAGUAGAUUUGAGCCAACUUAACAUUAUAAAUUUCACUUACCUAAACACAACUGCAAAUCACAAGCUACUAAAUGCUUUCCUCACCUUAGUAGCUCUUGAAUAUGAAUUUUGCUCUCCAAAUACUUGGAUUAAAAAGUAGAAUUAACUGAUGUAAUUUCUGUUUGAGUUUUGAGGGACCAAAAUGGGUUAUCUGGCAAGAUAGAAGAAAUUUUGUUUAAAUUAAUUAAGAUAAUUUAAUUUCUUGCAAUGUUAGGUGUAAAUUUGCAUGUUAAUAUUCAGCUUGAUGUGGCAAUAAUGCAAAACAAGGUCCUUGCACGUGGCCAAAGAAAAUUCAAGAAGAGGAUGAGUCAUUUGGGGGAUAAAUCAUGAUUUAAUCCUUGAUGUCGAAAUUAGUAAUGAAAAUAUUGUUUAGUAAAGACAUAUGGCCGUGCAAUGCAUAAUAUAAAGGCAAGUGGUCCUUUAAAAUUCUAAUUAAUAAAUUUUGUAAGGAAAAUGUAGGAAGAGAAAUGUAAUCCACUUCUUACACAUUCACUAGCAUAAGGUUAUCCACUAUUAUUAAUAAUUAACUAAAGUUUACACAAUUUAUAACACCAUUAACUAUUAAAGACAAUAAUAAUUUAAUUAAUACUAUUCUACUAUUAGCACAUGCAUAAUUUAAUUCGAAUGCUGAACUUGAGAUGAUGUACGUUUAUGAAAAUUACCCAUCACGUCUUCCGAAAUUAACAAUUCGACUAAAAUUUUCAUGUAAUCAUCCGAAUACUGAGGCAAAUAAUACUUAGUAGCUUAAACCCUAAGUAUUAUUAUCACUUUCUAAUAUUACAUAAUUACAAAUAUGGAAAUUUAGGAUGUCACUACAUGGACCCACCUAGCCUAUCUCAAUGUUGAAGGGUGUUCGUUCUCCUUCAGUGGACUGGGCUUCAAGGUUCGGGAAUCCUUCUACAGGCGUGCCGUACGAAGCCCAGGGUUGACUUGAGCUAGCCGCCUACGGGCCCUGAAAUGGAAACCGUUGGACUAGUGGCCAUUGGACGGGGCCGGAAACAUUUCCCGAAGCAAGGGCCGGAUCUGAGGUGAUUUGAGUCAUAGAUCGCACAUCUUCAGCCAUAUCAACCUCCCCUGGAUUUUGAAGUGAAUUCGGGUUCUCCUCCACUGAAGUAUUUCCUUCAGUAUUCUUGGCCAUGAUAGAGUUAAAUUCCUACUGUAGACUGUUUUGCUUUGCAAGCUUUGAGUUGUAGUAGCAAAAGAGAAGGAAGCAGAGGAAAUUUGUGGGCUUUGCGGAAGCUAGGUUGAAAAGAACAGCUCUAAUACCAUGUCAAAGUUUGAGGAAUAGGCCAAGAAGGUGAGAACAACUUAUAAUUUUUGUAUUCAGUCUUAUCUUUUAUAUUGUACAAGCUCGUAUUUAAAGUACAAUGUAUGUCUAACUAUGGAAAGAAUAAAUGAAGAUAAGUUAAAUUAAAUCCAAUCUUGGAUUGAUAUAAUCUAUCGAUUAUAAUCGCCUACAAUCUUGGAUUGGUAUCAAUCACAAUCUUCGGUUUGAUCACAAUCUCAUGUCCAAUUCUCACAUAUCUCCAACACAGUCUUAAGGAUUAAGUUUUUUUCACUCUGUCCCCCUCAACUUUGUCAACUUAUCUAAAUCUGCCCUAGAUAACUGACUUUCUAUCAAAAUGGGUGAAAACUAACUUAAGUAGUGUCACACUAGUCUUUUUAACUUUUCAAAAGGAGUGAAAGUAAUUGGUCACUCAAUCUAGUCUUUGCCACUGGCAUGGAAGGCUACAUGUUUCAAACAAACUGAGCAUGUUUAGUUUGUUUGUAAUUUUACGUAGUCCAAUGUUCUCUACCAAUUUCUCCAUCCUUUGACCAGGAGAGAAUUGAAAUUGAAGAUUUCUGCAUGAUAUAUAAUGAAAGUUCGCCUCACGUGGGCAGCACGAUUUGAUGCCUCAUAUACAUUACACUCACGUGAGUAGCAUGUGUGCAAGAAUGGGACAACAUAAGGCGAUAGAUACACAAAGUUCUAUCGACAUUUUGACUUAAAAACAGGCAAUUCGAGUGUCUUAAGGACGGAAUUCUUGGAUAGGAGGGUCAUAUCAUGAACUACGAAAAUCAAGGAUUGAAUCUUUGACGCCUUUUCACUCUUGUUACUGUCAAAGGAGCCCGUUUUCUCCAAUAAUUUAAUUAUUAGGAAACGGGUCACCAAUGUAUCUAUAACAUACCACUUAAUGGUACAAAAAUAUUCUGUGUCAUGCCUACAUCACCUAACAUGUCGGUGAAUAUGAUUCAAAAGUGAAUAAGCGAAGACAAAGAGGAACAAAAUGGAAACCCUCGAGUCCAUAAAUGAUGAAAUCCAACAUAGGAAUCUCGUAAAACCGAAAGCGAAGUACGAAGAACAUGAAGAAGGAAAUGAAAAGGCGAGUAGAUGGACAUGACACAUGUUAUGCCCAUGACCAUGAGCAAGGCCCAGCUUCGAGAAAGAACUAGAAGCCCAUAACCAGAACGUUCGCCCACGCUGACACCUCGUUCCAGAAAUCUCACGAACGUACGAGAGGACCUCCUCUUCUCUCCCAUAAAUACCCGGUGCGUCCCUCGCCUUCCGACAAGGAUCCAGCAAGAAAGCAUAUUACCAAUUAACUCCAAACCCGAGCAGAAGUCUAUCCCUCGCGUCCUCCGAAAUCAAGCAAUCCAUCCACUGUUACAGAGGCCAUGUCGCUCAUUCCCAGCUGGUUCGGUGGCCGACGCGGCGACGCCUCCGACCCCUUCUCGCUCGACCUCUGGGACCCCUUCAAGGACUUCCCUUUCCCUUCCUCUUCCCUCUCCGCCUCUCCUUUAAGGGGAAAUUCCGCAUUCGUCAACACCAGGAUCGACUGGAGGGAAACUCCGGAAGCCCACUUGUUCAAGGUCGAUCUUCCGGGGCUC
rnacentral:lncRNA from 1 species